rnacentral:lncRNA from 1 species
AAAGCUACAGAUACAACCGCCGGAAACGCAACUCCUAAGUAAAACAAAAAUCUCCUACAUAACAUAGUUUUUCUACAAAUCAAGGAUGAAGACUGUCCAGGUGGUGCUCAUAUGCCUUGUCCUUUCGGUGCUCUGUUCAGGUAUUUUGCCGGUAUGUUUUUCUCCACCGCACUUGUAGGAAAUAUAUUUCGGCUUAUCCAUGCUCCUCCUCUCGAAACCCCGCAGGCAUCGCUGCUCGCUGUGCCCAGUACAACGUCUCCAAGGCAUGUCCAAGCAUAGCUUCAUGCACAGCACUAUGCACCUAUAAAUAUAAGGCGGACACGGUUUAUGGUGUAUGUGCUGAUAACGGAUGCUGGUGCGUAGUCUGCGUGAUACCACCUGCAGCUCAAUCUGCGUCUGCAGCCCAGAUUGCGCCCGCAGGGAAUUAAAGGAUAUCGCUUGCUUCCCUUUCUGCCUAAAUAGAAUAAAACAAUGUCUGAUUAAUGUAUUUUUCUCGUACCGACAACAUUGUAUCGGUGUAAGGACCCGUGAGGCAAAAUAACAUCCUAUUAAUAUUGAGCGCUCUUUGGCGAAAUGCAUGAUUAAUUAAUUGGACACUGUAGAGGAUGUAUAAAUAUCCUUUCAUUGCGAGUGGCCAUGAAAAUACGUUUGUGGAUUUUUUUUCUCUCCAUGUUGAGAACAUUACCAAACCAUCGGAAUCGGUCCUCCAUGCAAGUUGCAUCUGGAUGGGAGAUUCACAGCCAAGAUAGUGAAUAACCAGUUCCAUAAGCAACCUUGUUCUGAUCUCAUCAAAACUAUCAAACCCAUCACUUCACACCAUAAACCUGGCAAGCCGGUUCAAAUCUGGUCGAGAAGAAGCCCUUGGGGCCUUGGUGGUCGUCUGAAAGGCAACUUGAAUCACAAAGAGACUGUCCCUGACGGACCUGCAGGGUCUGCAGCGGCGAUCAUCAGCAUAGCGGAUCGAUCAUGAGAUGAAUGCUAAAGCGGCAAGCUAACAUUUGGCAAACGCUGGGUGAAGACAACUGAUGAAAAGUACCCACACGGAUAAUCCAUGCUAACCGAGGCCAGCAGCCGCAUGCAUGGCCAGCACGAGACCUUGGUGCACUAGUAGAAAAAGGCCCAUUUGUCCCGGUUCCAGAGGCCCUUCUGUCCCGGUUUUGGACCCGGGACUAAAGCCCAUGACCUUUAGUCCCGGUUCUCUUACGAACCGGGACAGAUGGGCCUCCAUGUGGCCUCUCCGCCGAGCCCAGGCAGGAGGGCCUUUGGUCCCAGUUCGUAACACCAACUGGGACCAAAAAGUGUCCACGUGUCAGCAGCUCAGGAGCUGGGGCUUUUGUUUUUUUGAAGGGGAGGAGGUUGGGGGUUUGGGAGUUGUUAAUUGGGCCAGACAGCCCAUCUAAGGAAGCCACACGAGACGGUCGACGGAGCCCAGUCGCGCGAGUGGAUCGAGCACCAAGAUCCCAACCGAGGCGAGCGAGGAGGAGCGCGAGAAUCGAACGCGACGCCCUUCAUCUGAGGUUGCAAGGGAAGCCGAUCCAGCCGACGAGGGAAUCCAGCGGACACGCCGGAUGCGGAUGAAGAAGAGGCCCGGUCGAUCCCUCUAUGAAGUGGGAAGGGGGACGCGGGCGAUGAUGUUGGGCAACCCAUCUGCUGGGAACUGAUCGCAAUCAUACUUCAGUUUCUAAGAUCGCAUUCAUGGCGAUUGUUGUGCCCAUCCUUUUCGCUGUCAUGUGGUACUUCUAUAUUGUUCCUCCCAUAACAAUCCUCGGUCACCCUCUCUACUCUGACAUCACAAGCAUCUUUCAGCAUCAUGCUCUGGUAUUACUUAUGCAUGAUUCCUCAAGAUUCGUCAUUGAGGUUUACAAUCGUUCAUUAUUAUACUUGUUCUUUCAGAUUCGUCAUUGUGCCCUACAUGAGUCUCUGUCAAAAUUUGCAUGUGUUAACUCUGUAUGUAUGUAUGCAAUUUGAUAUUUUAAAAUACUAACAUUUGUCCACUUUGUCCUAAAGUAGUUUUUGCUGCAUGGACGUGAGCAGAGCGAAGGUAUCCCAUUAUCAUGAUUCAGAGGACUCAUGUUAUUCUCUCUAUUGUCAAUGCAACCGACUCCGGUUUAUAUCUCUUCUUGGAAUAAAAAAAUGCAUAUAUGAACCUGACUUCUUAUGUAGCUAUGUUCAAUCAACACAUCAGAAUGUUUUUGUUGGGCUGCAGACAUCCCUGUUCUACGACAGGUGAUACAUAGGGAAUUAGGAUUUUAGAAAAUUUGCAUACAUAAAUCUUCGGACGUAAAACAUGUAAAUGUGGACAAGUAUGAAAGCAAUACAAAAGACAACAUUUUUAUUUUCAAGUUAUAAAGUGGAAUCCAUAGAUUACACAGGAAUGUUAUCUCCUAAAAGUGAAUAAUAACAAGACAUCCGUUCAUUCAAAUUGGUGAAUAUUUCUCAAGAUGGGUAAGAUUGACUUUCUCAGAUAGAGUGCAGUAUUGUGACGGUCUCUUUGACUACAUACAUGUUUGUCUCUCUGUUGUGAACUUGCAAGACCUGGAACAACCAGCCUAUUUGUUCAAAUUUCGAAAUCUUGGUGAUGUUGUUUUUCCCUCUUUGCGCAUACUUCUCCUAUUGUUUGGCGACAAACACUUCAUUGCUAAUCUGCCUUUCAAUGACUAUAUCCUUUUUGGCUGAUAGUCCUCUUAAACCUUUAAAUCAGUUUUUUUUAACUGGUGCUCAAUAUAAUGGAUUGUAAUGGUCAGCUGCUUAAUAUAAGAGCUUGGUAACUUGACUUUACGAAUUUAUCGUCCCUUUUUUGAAAUAUUUACUGUCAAUUCUGAGGUGGUGGGCGGCCUAGUGGAGGCUUAGGUAUGUUGAUGGUCCAUCUCCCUUGAUUCCAUUAUUUACAUCCUCUCGACCGCUAGCUCUCACUAGCUACCUGCAGGCACAUAUUUCGCCUAGCCACGCCACACAUGGUGCUCGAGAACUGAUGCUGCCGAGCAUAUCGUUGUGUACAUUCUACUCAUGGGUUAGAUUUUUUAGUUGAAUACAGUUUUGCAAACAGAUUAUUUAUGUAUGUUUCUUAGAAAACAUUGCUCCUUGAAUAAUACCCCAUGAUACUUAAACAAGCUCUAUGUCAUUUUUACUAGUUCAGUUUGGUGGUGGUUUAUAUUGAGGAUUUGAUCAUUGCUCAUGCAUGCUAAAAAAUUUAUCUAACAUGCAGUUUUGUUCAGGUACAUUUCAUUCUUUUGUACAUUGAAAACUAUUGUUGGUAUAUUUUAUAGCUAGACUGUGCACAUAAGUGUAGAGGCCAUUAGUUAUGUUGUUCAAGCUAUGUUGGUAUCUGUUUGAAGAUUAAUUCCAGUCGGAUAUGUUCCAUUGUCAUCUGACAUUUAAUAGUAAAAUAUACUAUUGAAAAUUAGUUAAAUAUACAUUGAAUAGUUCAAAUAAAGAAAUGUCAUGUCAGAUAAGUUAAGCUGACUACAUAUUUGUCAAUGGCUUUAUCAAAUGUAGGUUUCAAAUCAGAUGUCAUUCAGAACUCAUCCUUGAAUUACCUGUAUACUUGAUUAACUGGACUACAUCAUGGAGUUGUCGCCUUUGAAGUUUGAUGAAAUAAGGCCCAUGGUUGUUUGCUUUCCACUCUUAAAUUGCCUUUGGUUUGAAAGAAGGCCCAUGGUUGUUUGCUUUCCACUCUUAAAUUGCCUUUUUGACAGCAACAAAAAACUAUACUAAUAGGAGUUUUGAUUUCCCUUCUUCCUGUACUUUUUCUAUAUCACAAAGAAUUGUUCAUGCCUUAUUUGUCCAUUUCAUGUUGACAUUUCAACUUGACCAUUACAAGAACAUCAUGAUUUUCUUUAUGAUUAUUGCUGUUGUAGAGGUGUUAAAUAUAUAAAGUAUGAAAGGUGUAAUUUCAUGAGAGUACUUUGUAAUAUCAGCUUCCUUUGCCUGAUUGAUGUUGCUUUACAGUCUUAUUUGUCGGCAUUUUGUUCGGCGAGUUAAUGCUUUUUCCAUGCUGUGAGGUCGUAUAUGUUGCAGGCACAGAGCACCUAAGUUUUUCCCAUAGACACAAAAGCAAUGUUCCGGCUGUAGCAUUAAUUACACACACUAGUAUUUCCUAGGCUGCUAUAUAAAUAUGUACGAAAGGAUUGCUAUAUCAAAUACACGCUUAUGAUCAGUGCGUAUUAUCUUCCUUCACAAUGCUUACCCUGCUUACAGUAAUCUACAUGGGUCUGGUUCCUUUUAAUAUCAAUAUUUGUCAUCAGAUUCUGAUAUACAUUGUUUCAGUCCAAAUGAUACAGGGUGCACAUUUUCUACAUUUAAUUUCGACUAAGACUUUCUUUUCUUGGUGGUAUGAUCACUUAUCAGUAAUUUGAUGGUUAUCUAUAUAUGUUGAAUUUUCAUAGCAUUUUAACCUCCGAUAUCAAUAUAUUUUCAUAAUAUAAAUUGUUCAAUUUCAUUUCCAACGUAUUUUGCUCAUAUAUUUUUAUUAUUUCAUAAUAUGAAUGGUAUGACAAAUAUAUGAUUUAGUAUUUUGCAAAAAAAAUCUUGACUUGUGUAUUUUUCAAAAUUCCUUUCAUUCUUUUAAAAAUAGACGGGCGCGGCAAUGCGCGCCAUCCAUGAUCUAGUCAUAAGUGAUGUCCCGACCAGAUUCUUUCAACGUCAAUGAUUUUACUUUUUGGCAAGAUACUUUGGAGGUACGUAAAGCUAUAGAUCAGCGAUGGAUCAAAGUUGAGGUCAGGUAAAGAGGCGAUCUGUCCACUUCUUCUAGGGUGGCCGCUACGGUGGUGCCAGAUUUGAGUGACGGGCAUUGGUAUCUUGCUCAAGGGUUUCUUCAGCCGAGAUUGUAAUUUUCUUUCUCGACUAGCUAAGGGUAGUUUUUGCAAUAGCUAGGGUUGUCCUAUCUUUUUUUGGUUCUGUCAAGUUGGUGUUUAAGUGGAUCGUAAUUUGAUAUUUAUUUUAUAAAUGAGACACACAUGACAUCAAGUAAAAAAAAUCAAGGCUACAGAUCAACAUGACCUCGUGUAUCCCGCAUGANNNNNNNNNNNNNNNNNNNNNNNNNNNNNNNNNNNNNNNNNNNNNNNNNNNNNNNNNNNNNNNNNNNNNNNNNNNNNNNNNNNNNNNNNNNNNNNNNNNNNNNNNNNNNNNNNNNNNNNNNNNNNNNNNNNNNNNNNNNNNNNNNNNNNNNNNNNNNNNNNNNNNNNNNNNNNNNNNNNNNNNNNNNNNNNNNNNNNNNNNNNNNNNNNNNNNNNNNNNNNNNNNNNNNNNNNNNNNNNNNNNNNNNNNNNNNNNNNNNNNNNNNNNNNNNNNNNNNNNNNNNNNNNNNNNNNNNNNNNNNNNNNNNNNNNNNNNNNNNNNNNNNNNNNNNNNNNNNNNNNNNNNNNNNNNNNNNNNNNNNNNNNNNNNNNNNNNNNNNNNNNNNNNNNNNNNNNNNNNNNNNNNNNNNNNNNNNNNNNNNNNNNNNNNNNNNNNNNNNNNNNNNNNNNNNNNNNNNNNNNNNNNNNNNNNNNNNNCUUCGUCGCCAUGGAUGACUCCCUGCUAUCCCCCGUCACCGUCAAGGUCGCUGGCGCUCCUUCUCCUCGGGCGGAUCUCGUCGUCGGCCUUAUUGGCCCCGCCGUUGCCCAAGGUCAAGUCGCGCUUGCCCGCAAGCGGCAGGGCAACGUGGUCGUGCAGGGCGGCGCUCCGGCAGCCCCCGCUACGAGGGCCCGCGCUCCGGGCGCCAACGCUGCUGCGCGAUCUCGGACGGCAUCGGAGAAGGUCGCCAAGGUCGCCGGCGUCAAGAGGAAGGAGAUUCCGGCCACAAAGAAUCUGCCUCCUUCAUCCGCUCACUCUGGCCCGAAAAGAGGUGCCCUGGCGAUGCCGCUCAACGGUGCUGCUCCCCCCGCAAGCGAGGUGUUUGACGAAAUGGCCGGAAGGUAUGUGUCUUCGGUCAUGGCAAUUUUCUUUGCUUUUCGCCAUUUUGCGAUAGCUCGUGACUUGUUGUGCUUCACUAUAGCGGUGGUUCGAACAAUGCAACUGCUGAGUUCGUGAACUUGUUGGACACCAACGCCGUUGACAUUGAUCAAGUCCCGUUUGAAGCAUUCGACUACAAUGAAACGGAGGCUAGCAUGGACGAUCAUGGUUUUCAGGACGAUUUAGAGGAGAUCGAAGCGGAAGCAUAUGAGCAAUCGCAAACAAAAACUAGGAAAAGCCAGAGAUUGAAGAACUACACGAUCUUGGAAGAUCAAGUUCUCAUCAAUGCAUGGAGUGCGGUGUCUCUUGAUGCAUGCACGGGUACUUCUCAAGCCGCCAAGUGGUAUUGGCAAAGGCUCGAAGAUCAAUACUUCUGCAUGAUGGCAAAGUACCCCAAUAGGACUCCAUGCACAUUUCGGUCUCUUCAAGGUCGUUGGGAGAAUAUCAAGCCUAUGUGCAGCCGUUGUGGGUGGGGAGGAGUGCCUUAUAUGGAGAGGAAGGGGCUUGGGUGAGAGGUAGAUGGAUCUGAUCGAUCUGCGGCGGCAAGGCGCAGUGCAAAGCCGAGACGGGGUAGAGAUUGGUAGGGUUCCGUGGCGCGCGCGGCUGCGAGUGGUGGACGAUCGCGGCGGGAGGGAAGGGGGCGGGAGUCCGCUUGGGAGACGAUGGCGGCAGGUAGGGAUAGUUCAUCGAUGGAGUUUGUUAGACGGAAGGAGAGGGAGAGGAGACUCGCGCGCGGCUAAAACGGGAUUCACCUGCUGUUAAUUAAUUUGACAGCGCAGCGGCAGAGAGAGAGAGAGAUAGAAAGAGAGAGACUGCCGCGCGGUUUAAACGGCCCGGGAUUCACUUGCUGUUAAUUUGACAGCACAGCGCCGCAGAGAGAGGGAGAUAGAUUCUACCAUACCCUCCAUACGGUUUAAACGGAAUCACUUUCUGUUAAUUUGACAGCGUGGCACUAGAGAGAGAGAGAGAGAGAGAGAGAGAUUAAGUCCCCAAGAGGAAUCGUUGGAACAUAUAUGCUGCAACAUGUAAAUCAAUGUUUCCAAUGACAAGAAGAAUAGAUAACAUGAAAAGUAUUUGGUGGCAUGAGCACAAUAUCUGCCACAGACCUUCGGACUCAUCGGGCAAUGUAACCCCAUGUGAUUGCAACAAACCGAAUGUAGGUGUUUAGAGCAUCUUCAACAGGCGAUCAAAAACUGCUCCGCGCGCUAAAACUUGGGUUUUUUGGGCGCCGGAUAGAGCAGAAACUGUAAAAUAGUGCACACGCAAAAAAAGGUUGGGCACGCGCGGAAAAAUGCUAUCGCAUGCUGUAAAUUUGAGGCGCCUGAUUGCCGCGCUUCACAAUUUACACUGCAUGCUUUUUUGGGCGCGAGUUUUUUCGCAUCUGGUAAAGCAAUGUUGGGUCCGGCACGCUAAAAGUGCUACAGUGGUGCGCUAAAACUAUUUUAGACGCGAAAGUUUUGUACAUCUGUUGGAGAUGCUCUUAUAUAUUGAAGAAAUCUACACCAAACCGUGUGAUCCCGACACUAGGCACCCCCCGGGCACCUUUUCCCCAUGGUCGGGCAACAUAUUUUUUAGAAAUGCAACGACGUUGCAUUUAAUUGAUGAAGAAGAAGAAACAUUUACAAUGCUAGAUUGAGCACACAAACCCACAACAACACACAAGAACGCAAACACGAGCACCAUAGCAACACCACGCCCUAGAAGAGAAGGAACUCAGCUUCAAAGAUCAUGAAGGCUUGAUGGGGCGAGGAAGGUGUAGCAAUUCCAUCAUCCUAACCAAGCAAGGCGCACACCUAGAGACUUAUUCAUCUGGUUGCCAUCCAACAACACCCCCAAAAGAGAGGGAGGGUGUCGUAUGGGAGCAAGCUAAUCGCAGAAGGAUCACACUAGCUAACCUGGCUUCAGACGCAAGCGCCAGACUUGCCAACAUGAAAUUGAGAACUUGGAUCACAUCUGCCCAACACCAACAACAUCGGCACCCUCCUACCACUGGUCCCUCCAACCGGUAGCACAAAAGAUGAUGCCCCAAGAGGAGCUCCGCACCGACAUCAUCAUAUCUAACCUCCUAGAGGGUCGGAGAGCCUUUGUCUACCCCGGCCACAACCGGAAUCGAGGACCUAGCCCAAUAUAGUGCCACCUCCUCUCGCCCGUGUCAAUAACGUUCAGACCGUGACCAUCAUCGCCUGCCCAAUACCUGCCAACCCCCGGCACCCAAUGACUGCCACAACCACCAUUAGAUCUGGGCCCCGGGGCCCAAACUCUCUUCUGCUUAUAAUUUUUAUUACUUCUGGUGUUCUCUACACAGUCAUUAUAUGACAAAUAAUGAAUAAAGUGGAAGUUUCUUCCAGAAAAACUCUCUUACAAGUGUAAUCUCUGCUGAUCAGUUCCCAUGGCGUAAUAUUACGUUAAGGUAGAGCAUAAUAGAAUAUGGGGUCGUUCGACUACUGUCAUGUUAUAUGAUCGAGUCAAUAAAUUGUUGCUUCUUGGACAAUAAACAAGAGUUUUAAACAAGAUGCAGAUGCACGUGUGGGCGUCCGCUCGUCACUCUGUUUGUGUGGUACAAUGGCUUAGUGUGUGUGUACAUCACAUGAGUGCAGAUUUCUGUAUGAUUUUAUUUAUAGCUGCUCAGACUGGACAUAUUUGACAUAACUUAUCAACAGAUUAAUCUAAUAGAGUGAAGUUUAUUUUUCCUCGCAAAAAAAUAUUUAUUUUAUUUUCUUGUGAAUAGAAAAACUGCACCUUUCCCAGGUGUUGAUUUACCAUUUGGCGUUGCCGUUUGUGCAUGCAUGCACUUCAACUUUUUGCAUGAGCUUUCUGUUAGGAUCUUUUUCGUUUCCGAUUAAAUUUUCUGCAACCACGCUUUGCUACUUUUUCGUUCCAAAAGAAAGCUGAUCAGACGAGUAUGUGAUGUGCAGUGUUCAUCCUUGUAAUCGUUAGAAGUGGAUGAACAAAGCGUGCAAUCAAGACACAUUUAUCCAACUUCAAGCACGUAUCGAUCAAACUAUUGCACAACUUUAGACCUAAUAAACCUUCUAAUGGUACCAAUCUACUAACAUUUACACACGUAUGAUGCCUAAUAGUGUUAAUACCACGAUCGUAGCACAUCAGAAUACUCUCUAUCAAUCUGCAUGCUUGCUGUAUCAUCGAUCACUGCUUCUCGUCGACGGGGGCUUCCUCCUCUUUCUUCGCCUCCUGCAUGAUGGUCACGCCGAAGAGCCUCAGGCAUCCCGCCGGCACCACCGGCACUUGCGGGGGCUGCACCGCCGGCACCACAACAGGCGCUUCCAUGGCAGGCGCCAGCCCGGGGAUCGCGACCCCGAUGACGUCCGGGGGUAAGAGGAGGCGCGCCCAUUUCCUCGGCACGAUGGGCUUGCCCGUGUAGUGCUUCCUCAUGUGCCCACCUAGCUGGACGCCGCUGGUGUACACUUCGCCGCAGACCUUGCAGGUGUGGAGCUUCUCCGGCCUAGGCCCGCCCGCUGCUAUGGGGUCGACCCCCGCUGCUAUGGCUGCAGCGGCGGCCGUUGCGAUCCUCCGGUUCUUGUGGCCGGCGACGUGUCCGCCCAGCCCCUGGUGCGUCUCGAACCACCGGUUGCACUCCUUGCACGAGAAUCCAUGCGGGGCGGCCGGGUCCUGGUGCAGUGGCCAGUGGAAGGCCAGCGGUGGGACGGCGGCAGCAUGCUGCUGUGCGGCGGCGGGGAGGGUGGAGAUAGACGGCGGCUGGCUCUGGUGCUGGUGCGACCGGCGGUGGGACGGGGUCUUGCCGAUGUGCAGAAGGCGUUGGGGCGAUGUUGACUUAAUUGGGUGCAGCGGCGGGUGCUGCUGCCUCUGACACCACGAUGGCCAUGGAAAGAUCAGCAGCACUCUGAGUGGGCUCCAUGCUGCUGGACCUCCUGCUGCUGCCGCUGCCGACGAGGACCUGAUCGCUGCUCGGCACCUCCACGGUCAUCGGGUCGUCCGGGGUCUUGGGCUCCUCGACGACAUAUGCUAUGGACGCGGACACGGAGUCAGCCACCUGGUCCACGGCGCUGACCGUGGCAGACGCCUUCGCCUCCUCCUUGGGCUGGGCCUGCGCGUGGACCCUCAUGUGGCCAUGGACGGCCUUGGAGCUGUGGAACUGCCUGUGGCAGACGGGGCAGGCCGGGAAUAACGCGGUGGCGGCAGCAGUAUCGCCGCCGGCGUGGCCGUCGUCUCUGAUGGUCUCGUCGGAGAGCGAGGACGACGGCGACGAGCGCCGGGUAGUCGAUCUUGAUCUUCUUGACCCGGCGCUGACCACGUCCUCCGGUACAGGGCCGGGGCCAGGGCGGGCGACCGUGACCAUCUGGUGCUGGCGGUGGUCGUUGAGGGGCAGUGGAUGGAGGAAGUAGCGCGCGUCCUCGUCGUCGGUGUCGGUGUCGGAGCCCGUGUAGUAGGCGGAGGCGACCUCGCCCUCCUCGAUGUCCCGGCGCCGGCGCGGUGGCUGGGCCGGGCGAUCAUCAUCCGCGGAGCCGGCCAUGGAAGGAAACCAGAUGGUAGAUCGAUCGACUGGCAGCGAGGAGAGAGAGCGAGAAGCUAGGGUUUUGGAAUCGCACGCUGCGCUCGAGAUUUUAGGGCUUGGCUUGUGUUGUGGCCUGUGUGGGGUCUGUGCUUCGCUUGUGGGUGGAGGGAGGUAGAGGGAAAGUGGGGUGCCUUAUAUGGAGAGUGACGGCUUGGGUGAGGGGUAGCUCCGUUGGGCGGCGGCAAGGCGCGGCGGGAGGCCGAGACGGGGUGGAGAAGUAGAGAUAGAGUUGGAGUCGGUAGGGUUUACGACAGCGGGGCUUCCGUCGCGCGCGCGGCUGCGAGCGGGGGAUCGCGGCGGGAAGGGGACGGGAGUCUGCUUCGGAGACGAUGGGUGGCGGGGCUGGGAUGGAUCCAGUUUGUUACGCGGUUUGAAGGGGAUUCACCUGCUGUUGAUUUUUUUUGACAGCGCAGCGUGGCAGAGAGAUAGAGGGAGACUUCCGCGCGGUUUAAACGGUUUGACAGUACUAGGGAGAGAGAGAGAGAGAGAGAGUACCGCGCGGUUUAAACGGGAUCACCUGCUGUUAAUUUAAGAGAGAGAGAGAGAGAGACUACCGUACCGUGCAGUUUAGACGUGAUCACCUUCUGUUAAUCUUUUUUUGCGGGUUAUUUUCUGUUAAUUUGACAGCGUGGCAGAGAGAGAGAGAGGAGUUAGCAGUUCUUUUUUUUUUCUUUGAGCGGGAGAAGAGAUAGCAGUUUCGUAUAUGGAAACGAAUCUUGGCCGGAUCUGAUCGAUAUUUCUUCGCCAACAAGAUAUAGUACACUAGUGGAGGCAAAGGAAAGUUAAUUAAACCGGUGAAGAGAUUAGAGACGGAGAGAGGAGUCUUUUUUUUUUAGAACGAGAGAGAGGAGUCUAGAUAUUCUUUUUUUUCCUGGCAUGAUAAAGCACAUACCAAAAACAUCGAAGCAGUCCAAACAAAUCAAUACAGUAGCAUUAUUUACUUCCUGUAAAUAAAUGUACUAACCAAUCUCCUAAUGAAGGCCCGAGAAGAAUCAUGCAUGGCAACAUAUAUGCUAAUUUUUUGUUGGUAGCUUACCAAGCUGACCACUUGUAAAAAUAUGCUGCAACAUGUAAAUCAAUGUUUCCAACAAUAAACAAAAUAAUUCCCGAAAAAUAUAACGUGAAGAAUAUUUUGCAGCAUGAGCACAAUAUUUGUAGCAGGCCUUUGGACUCAGUCGGGGCAUGUCACGUGUGUGUAUGCAGUGAAGCAAAUGUGGUUUUGUGACAUAUUGAAGGGAUGAAAGACAAAUCGCGGGAUCCCAACCGGGCCUAUCCACCCGCGGGUAACGUUUCCCCAAAGCCAACCAACAUGGAGGGGGGGGGGUCCCUUUUCAGUCCAACUCCAGCUACUCCAUUGAUCCACGACAUAACCUCGACAACCUUCAACCAAGGGCAGACCAAGGGCGGAUGAAAAACAUAGGAUGGUGGGAGGGGAGUUGUGAGAGGAUAACUGUUUAAGAUAGAUUCACAAAAUCCUCGCUCUAAGAUUAAGGAUAAUGCAUUAUAUAUGUGUUCUACGGAGUUGUAAAUAUAUGAUCCAUUUUUCACCGCUUUAUGACAAAUAAUUGUGUUCAUCGACGUACUGGUCUAUAUUUGCAGGCAUAUCGGGUCAGAUAUCGGCCAUACGGUCGAUAUUUCAGUCCAUGUCAGAAGAUAUGUGUGAAAAUAAUAUUUACAAAAUGAUAUUUACUAAUAUAUCAGCCUAUAUAUCAAUCAUAUCAGCCUAGAUUUAAAAGCUUGAUCUCAGCCCUCCGUUUGGUUGAAGAUUGCAAUGCAUGUAUGCUUAUCUUCUUUACAUGCAUGGCGCCACGGACUACUUUUAGGGGGGCCCAUGCAUUCAUGCAUGAUGUCAACUAAUAGCAUUAUGCUCCCCCCAUCCCAUGUCCCAUACGUUUUCAUUUCACCCUUAAAUUUCAAUAUAUUUUUGUUCUAGAUGUGGUAUGAGAACUAACACAGUGAGGCAACACUGAACAUCAUGUCGUACUCAAUAUUUCUGCACUGUACUAGUACUAACUAGGGAUGCAGUGUACUACUAACAAGAUAUUGCAAAUCACAGCGGCACAGAGAUGACAUGGGUGGAGGCGGAGAUAGACGCACCUAUGAUCUCCGUCGUCGUGGAGGUUGAUGCCGUGGCUGCGGAGGAUGGCCCGGAGAUUGGUGCGUUGAGGAUGCUCCUCGACCUUGUGCUCCAACUAUUCAAGGCAGAAGUGGUCAAUGCGUUUGCUCCUGCCCAGAUUACAUACACCAGUGCAUAGAUUUCAGAAUCGAACAAAUCAGAUGUGCAAGAGAGGAGGGAUAGGGAGGAGGGGGCUUACCUGAAGGAGGCGUCUUUGCUGCGGACGAGGAGUAGGACGAGGAGCAUAAACUAUCUUUUGAACCAAAAGUCCUAAUUAAGUUUUGUUUGCAUAUUUGUGUUCCUUGUGACAAGGGCUUUGAAAUAAGACCAAUUUUCAAUAUGUGUUUACAUUUUUUUAAAAGUUUUUGCUAAGUUUCCACAGCCAAAACUUAAUAGCAAUGGACGAUAAAAUUAGUAAACUUAAAACUAGGGAGGAGCAAGAACGCCAGCGCAAGCAGCUCGAGCGACGUGGCGGAGGAGGGCCAAGUACGCCCCGAGCGAGACCCUAUGGCGUAACUCCUCCCGCGGGAUCAGCUUGGCGCUGGCUUCGCGUGCAGGGGCUCCUCCAUCUCCGCCUUGUGCUGAGCGCCGUGGGGGUGGUGAUGGAGGGGGGGUGAGGAUGGAGAGGGCGAGGGCAGCAAGGAGGAAGAUGAGACCGACGGCGCCGAGGAGCGGGCGCUGCGGACAUGGGAAGAGGAGGUGUAAGGCGAGGCAAGAGAGAGGGGGGAACAGAGGAAACGUGCACGAGAGAGCCCUCUCCGACCCGACCAGGGGUACUUUUGGAAAGUGCAGAAAAUGUUUGAACUCCGAAAUUUUGUACUGGAUUCUCUAAAACGACUUAUAAUACGGAGAAGAGGGAGUACAAAAGAACUAGACACUUUUUUUUGUGUCGAUUUAUUUGGCUUUGUGCAUGCAUGCAUGCACUUCCAGUUUGAGCGUGAGUUCUGUACUUCUUUUUUUAGAAUCAAGCGUGAGUUCUGUACUUCUCUUACGAUCGUUUCCGAGAAAAUUGCUGUCAUCGCGCUUUGGUCUUUUUUCGUUCCAAGAAAGCUGAUCAAGGUUAAUGUGCGUGUGUGUGGUGCGCAGUGUGUCAUCCUUGUAUAACAGCCAGCGGACGUUAUAAAACUUGAUGAACAAAGUGUACAAUCAAGAGACAAUUAUCAAGUUCCACGUACCGAUGAAAAUUAUCACACAACUUUAGACAUCUCCUUGGAUAUUUCUGAUUUAAUAAAUCUUCUAAUGGUACCAAUCUCAUAACAAUUUCAUACCUAUGACUAAUAUGUACUGACAUCAAAAUACUUUCAUACUCUUCGAUAUCAAACUGCAUGCCGCAUUAUCGAUCCACUGCUUGUCGUCGACGCAGGGCUCCUCCUCCUCUUUCUUCGCCUCCGGCACGAUGGUGACGCCGAAGAGCCUCACGCAGCCUGCCGGCACCGCCGGCGCCUGCAGCGGCGCAGCCGCCACCUCGGCCGGUGGCGCCUGUGGCGCCGGCCUGGGGAUCGCGAGCCCGAGGACGUCCGGGGGAAGGAGGAGGCGCGCCUGCUUCCUCGGCACGAUGGGCUUUCCUGUGUAGUGCUUCCUCAUGUGCCCCCCUAGCCGGACGCCGCUGUUGUAAACUUCGCCGCAGACCUUGCAGGUGUGGAGCUUCUCCGGCCUGGGGCCGCCCACGGCGUGGUCAAUCGGGUCGAGCCCCGCGGCUAUGGCUGCAGCGGCCUCCGCCGCGAUGCGACGGUUCUUGUGGCCGGCGGCGUGGCCGCCCAGCCCCUGGUGCGUCGGGAACCACCGGUUGCACUCCUUGCACGAGAACCCACGCGGGGCGGCCGUGUCCCGGUGCGCGAUGAUGUGCAGCGGCCCGUGGNNNNNNNNNNNNNNNNNNNNNNNNNNNNNNNNNNNNNNNNNNNNNNNNNNNNNNNNNNNNNNNNNNNNNNNNNNNNNNNNNNNNNNNNNNNNNNNNNNNNNNNNNNNNNNNNNNNNNNNNNNNNNNNNNNNNNNNNNNNNNNNNNNNNNNNNNNNNNNNNNNNNNNNNNNNNNNNNNNNNNNNNNNNNNNNNNNNNNNNNNNNNNNNNNNNNNNNNNNNNNNNNNNNNNNNNNNNNNNNNNNNNNNNNNNNNNNNNNNNNNNNNNNNNNNNNNNNNNNNNNNNNNNNNNNNNNNNNNNNNNNNNNNNNNNNNNNNNNNNNNNNCCGGGGCGGCCCGGUGGAGGUAGGCGGCGGCUGGCUCUGGUGCUCGUGCGACCGGCGGUGAGUCGGGGUCUUGCUGCGGUGCAGCAGGCGUCGGGGCGAGGUCAACUUCCUCCGAUAAAGCGGUGGGCGGUGCUACCCCUGCCACCACGAUGGCCAUGGACCGAUCAGAAGUACUCUGACAAGGCUUCUGGACGCUGGCGCUGUUGCUGCUUCUGCUGCUGCUGCGGACGACCUGAUCGCUGCUCCCCUGCUCCACCGUCAUCGGGUCAUCCGAGAUCUUGGGUUCCCCGACAACAGUGGCCGUGGACACGGACACGGAGUCGGCCACCUCGUCCACGGCGCUGACCGUAGCAUACACCUUCUCCUCCUCCUUGGGCUGGGCCUGUGCGUGGACCCUCAUGUGGCCGUGCACGGCCUUGGAGCUGUGGAACUGCCUAUGGCAGACGGGACAGGCCGGGAAUAACGCGGUGACUGCGGCAGCAUUGCUGAUGGUCCCGUCGGAGCCGAGCGAGGUAGUGGGCGACGACGCCCGGGUAGUCGAUCUUGAUCUUGACCUUGACCCGGUGCUGCCAGUGCCAACGACCACGUUGUCGAGGACAGGGCCGGGGCCUGGCCGCGCGACCGUGACCAUCAUCUCCUGUUGGUCGUCGUAGCGGCGCACUGGCUUUAGGUAGUAGCGCGCGGCCUCAUCGUCGGUGUCGGUGUCGGUGUCGGAGCCCGUGUAGUACGCAGAGACAAAUCUUCACCGGAUCUCUGAUUGGUAUUUCUUCGCCAACAAGAUAUUUAAGUGGAGACAAAAGGAAAGUAAAUUAAACCGGUGAAGAGAGUAGAGAUAGAGAGGAGUAUUCUUUUAGGAGAGCUGAGCGUUUAAUUUGCGGAGGCGCCCAGCCCCAGCCCCAGAUAUGCCGCCGCAUCCACCGUUGGAUGUCACUUUAGCAUUACUAUCAUCUUUUUUUUCAUGGCAUGUCCAAGGACAAUACCAUAAACAUUGAUGCAUUCCUACCAAAUCGACAUAGCAUGAGAAAAAAAAAGUACCAAAGUCCCUGAGAACAAUCAUGCUUCGCAUAUGCUUUUUUUAACACGGUCCAGACGCAGACGCAUAUACACCAUUACCCCUAUAAGCACCUUCGAGAGACAGAGUCGACACAUCAUUUCCAUUUUGGCGAAAUCACCACACACUCCAUCAUGGUCGACGGGAACGUCUCCUUCCACUAAAUGCACAUCGCCGGAAGGUCUGGAAUAAAUACAGAAAAAUGAGAGUCGAGCCUAGGACUUAAACUCUGGUGGGCUGGCGAUACCAUAGUCCUCCUAACCAUUCAACCACAGGUUGGUUCACUCUUGGCAACAUAUGCUACAACAUUUAAAUCAAUGCUUCCCACAACAUGCAGAAUAAUUCACAAAAGAGAUAACAUGAAGUAUAUAGUUUGCAAUAGACCUUCAAACUCAUGGGGGCAUGUCACCCGUCCGCUUGCAGCAAACCAAAUGUAGAUUUGUAACAUACCAAAGGAAUGUAUUGCCAUAUCACGUUUUCCACAAAGCCAUGCAAAUGUUGGGGUGGGGGGGGGUGUCCAUUUUCGGCUUCAACUGGAGCUAUCUCACGGUUCCAUGUCAUAAGCGCUCGUCAACCAUCGACCCAUGGCGGAGGAGGAAUGACUAUGGUAAGCCCGGUGGAAGAAGAAUUGUGAGAGGGUGGAGGCGCGGUGUCAGUGUAUCUCUGAAUUGCAAAUAUAGUUGCUGCCUUAGACUGCCUUAAUAGACGACGGUUCUCACUAAAGCUAUUGCCCACUAUUUCUACGAGUUAAGUUUAAUCAUAAUUGUUUCGAGAAGCAAACUUUGGAGUUCAUAAUAUAGCCACACCGUAGCCACCAGUUUGUCGGUAAGUAGUGAAAUGUGGUUCCAAGUUUUUCUUGGCACUUGCUCUUUGUACACACAUGCAUAUCAGAACAUUAUAUUUCUUCACCAUCGACUUCCUCUCACAAUUUGUGUCUGUUUAGAGCUCACUUCUAAUCACCUCUCAUUUAGAACUAGGUGGUGUUUGUACUGUACAAGAGCCGAUUCUGGAAAAACAAUAGCAACGUGGUGAUCAAUGGCUAGACUCAGGUCUAAGCUCUCUUAGAACCAAGUUUUAACCAUUAACUCAAAUAAGAUGAAGUUUUGACCACAAUUUAGUCCCUUGUACAAGUUCUAAGUCGCAUAUAUUAACCAUAUGAGGUUGAAUGCAUAAAACCGAUCAAUUCCCAGGGCGUAAGAUUAUGGACAUGCUCUCUGACACGGUACAUACAUCAUAACAAGGGAACAAAGCGAGUUUUUUUUUUGCAUGGUAAUAUGUGUCCCAUUCAUAUCAUAAAGAUUAAAAGUACAAGUCACAUAAGGACCGACAUGACAAAACUGAAAAGAUAACAUAACGUCUCUAAGCUUGACACCAACGCUCGUCACCUGCCUCCGGCACCAGCAUAGCAGCCACCGAAAGAAAAAAUGACAGAUCACCUUCUCACCCGAGCUCGACGCGGCUCCGCCGCUGAUAUGUAGCUUUGCGGGCCUCCAAGGUGGCUCGUCAAAGACGAAACCAUUACCGUUGAACGAAUUAGACCGGUGCAACACCCCGGACACGCCAUCGACCUUCAGAUCUGUUGGGGAACAUAGCAGAAAUUCUAAAUUUUCCUACGUGUCACCAAGAUCUAUCUAUGGAGAGACUAGCAAUGAGGGGAAGGAGAGUGCAUCUACAUACCCUUGUAGAUCGCUAAGCGGAAGCGUUCAAGUGAACGGGGUUGAUGGAGUCGUACUCGUCGUGAUUCAAAUCACCGAUGAUCAAGUGCCGAACGCACGGCACCUCCGCGUUCAACACACAUACAGCCCGGUGACGUCUCCCAAGCCUUGAUCCAGCAAGGAGAGAGGGAGAGGUUGAGGAAGACUCCAUCCAGCAGCAGCACAACGGCGUGGUGGUGGUGGAGGAGCGUGGCAAUCCUGCAGGGCUUCGCCAAGCACCGCGGGAGAGGAGGAGUACUUGUGAGAGGGGGAGGGCUGCACCAGAACUUCGUCUAUAGCUCCCAUGCGCCUCCCCACUAUAUAUAGGGGUGGAGGGGCUGGUUUCUUGCCCUCCAAGUCCAUUGGGGCGUUGGCCAAGGUGGGAGGAAAGAAAUCUCAUUAUUUCCUUCCCCACCGAUUGUUAUCCCCCCUUUUUAGGGAUCUUGAUCUUAUCCCUUCGGGAUAUGAUCUUAUUCCUUCUAAGGGGGGAUCUUGGUGCGCCUUGACCAGGGGUGUGGGGCCUUGCCCCCACUACCCACGUCCAUGUGGGUCCCCCCAUGCAGGUGGGCCCCACUCCGGAACCUUCUAGAACCUUCCCGGUACAAUACCAAAAAACCCGAACAUUUUCCGGUGGCCAAAAUAGGACUUCCCAUAUAUAAAUCUUUACCUCCGGACCAUUCCGGAACUCCUCGUGACGUCCGGGAUCUCAUUCGGGACUCCGAACAACAUUCGGUAACCACAUACAAACUUCCUUUAUAACCCUAGCGUCAUCGAACCUUAAGUGUGUAGACCCUACGGGUUCGGGAGACAUGUAGACAUGACCGAGAUGUUCUCCGGUCAAUAACCAACAACGGGAUCUGGAUACCCAUGAUGGCUCCCACAUGUUCCACGAUGAUCUCAUCGGAUGAACCACGAUGUCAAGGACUUAAUCAAUCCCGUAUUCAAUUCCCUUUGUCUAUCGGUAUGUUACUUGCCCGAGAUUCGAUCGUCGGUAUCCAAUACCUUGUUCAAUCUCGUUACCGGCAAGUCACUUUACUCGUUCCGUAACACAUCAUCCCGUGAUCAACUCCUUGGUCACAUUGCGCAUAUGAUGAUGUCCUACCGAGUGGGCCCGGAGAUACCUCUCCGUUUACACGGAGUGACAAAUCCCAGUCUCGAUCCGCAUAAAACAAUAGAUACUUUCGGAGAUACCUGUAGUGCACCUUUAUAGUCACCCAGUUACGUUGUGACGUUUGAUACACCCAAAGCACUCCUACGGUAUCCAGGAGUUACACGCUCUCAUGGUCGAAGGAAGAGAUACUUGACAUUGGCAAAGCUCUAGCAAAUGAACUACACGAUCUUUUGUGCUAGUCUUAGGAUUGGGUCUUGUCCAUCACAUCAUUCUCCUAAUGAUGUGAUCCCGUUAUCAACGACAUCCAAUGUCCAUAGCCAGGAAACCAUGACUAUCUCUUGAUCACAACGAGCUAGUCAACUAGAGGCUCACUAGGGACAUAUUGUUGUCUAUGUAUUCACACGUGUAUUACGAUUUCCGGAUAAUACAGUUAUAGCAUGAAUAAAAGACAAUUAUCAUGAACAAGGAAAUAUAAUAAUAAUACUUUUAUUAUUGCCUCUAGGGCAUAUUUCCAACAGUCUCCCACUUGCACUAGAGUCAAUAAUCUAGUUCACAUCGCCAUGUGAUUAACACUCACAGGUCACAUCGCCAUGUGACUAAUACCCAAGAGUUUACUAGAGUCAGUAGUCUAGUUCACAUCACUAUGUGAUUAACACUCAAUGAGUUUUAUGUUUGAUCAUGUUGCUUGUGAGAGAGGUUUUAGUCAACGGGUCUGAACCUUUCAGAUCCGUGUGUGCUUUACAAAUCUCUAUGUCAUCUCCUAGAUGCAGCUACCACGCUCUAUUUGGAGCUAUUCCAAACAACUGUUCUACUUGGAGCUAUUCCAAAUUAUUGUUCCAUUAUAUGUAUCCGGUCUCUCUACUCAGAGCUAUCCGGAUAGGUGUCAAGCUUGCAUCGUCGUAACCUUUAUGACAAACUCUUUUACCACCUCCAUAAUCGAGAAAAUUCCUUAGUCCACUAGUUACUAAGGAUAACUUUGACCGCUGUCCUGUGAGCCAUUCUUGGAUCACUCUUGUACCCCUUGACUGACUCAUGGCAAGGCACACUUCAGGUGCGGUACACAGCAUAGCAUACUGAAGAGCCUACGUCUUAAGCAUAGGGGACGACCUUCGUCCUUUCUCUCUAUUCUGCCGUGGUCGAGCUUUAAGUCUUAACUUCAUACCUUACAACUCAGACAAGAACUCCUUCUUUGACUGGUCCAUCUUGAACACCUUCAAGAUCAUGUCAAGGUAUGUGCUCAUUUGAAAGUAUUAUUAAGCAUUUUGAUCUAUCCUUAUAGAUCUUGAUGCUCAAUGUUCAAGUAGCUUAAUCCAGGCUUUCCAUUGAAAAACACUUUCAAAAUAACCCUAUAUACUUUCCAGAAAUUCUACGUCAUUUCUGAUCAACAAUAUGUCAACAAUAUAUACUCAUCAGAAAUUCUAUAGUGCUCCCACUCACUUCUUUGGAAAUACAAGUUUCUCAUAAACUUUGUACAAACCCAAAAAUUUUGAUCAUCAUCAAAGCAUACAUUCCAACUCCGAGAUGCUCACUCCAGUCCUUAGAAGGAUUGCUGGAGCUUUGCAUACUUACUAGCAUCUUUCGGGAUUGACAAAACCUUCCGGUUGUAUCACAUACAACCUUUCCUCAUUAAAAUCGUCGAGGAAACAAUGUUUUGACAUCCUAUCUGCAAGAUUUCAUAAAUAAUGCAGUAAUCGCUAAUAUAAUUCCAACAGACUCUUAGCAUCGCUACGAGUGAGAAAAUCUCAUCGUAGUCAACUCCUUGAACUUGUCGGAAAACAUCUUAACGACAAGUCGAGCUUUCUUAAUGGUGACAUUUACCAUCAUUGUCCGUCUUCCUUUUGAAAUCCAUCUGUACUCAUUAGCCUUACGACCAUCGAGCCGUUCUGCCAAAGUCUACACUUUGUUUUCAUACAUGGAUCCUCUCUCGGAUUUUUAUGGCCUCAAGCCAUUUAUCGGAAUCCGGGCCCACCAUCGCUUCUCCAUAGCUCGUAGGUUCAUUGUUGUCUAGCAACAUGACCUUCAAGACAGGAUUACGUACCACUCUGAAGUAGUACGCAUCCUUGUCAUCCUACGAGGUUUGAGAGUGACUUGAUCCGAAGUUUCAUGAUCAAUAUCAUAAGCUUCCACUUCAAUUGGUGUAGGUGCCACAGGAACAACUCCCUGUGCCCUGUCACACACUAGUUGAAGAGACGGUUCAAUAACCUCAUCAAGUCUCCACCAUCCUCCCACUCAAUUUGUUCGAGAGAAACUUUUCCUCGAGAAAGGACCCGAUUCUAGAAACAAUCCAUAUUGCUUUCAGAUCUGAAUUAGGAGGUAUACCCAACUGUUUUGGGUUUCCUAUGAAGAUGCAUUUUAUCCGCUUUGGGUUCGAGCUUAUCAACCUGAAACUUUUUCAUAUAAGCGUCGCAGCCCCAAACUUUUAAGAAACGACAACUUAGGUUUCUCUAAACCAUAAUUCAUACGGUGUCAUCUCAUCGGAAUUACGUGGUGCCCUAUUUAAAGUGAAUGUGGUUGUCUCUAAUGCCUAACCCAUGAACGAUAGUGGUAAUUCGAUAAGAGACAUCAUGGUACGCACCAUAUCCAAUAGGGUGCAACUAUGAUGUUCGGACACACCAUCACAUUAUGGUGUUCCAGGCGGUAUUAAUUGCGAAACAAUUUCCACAAUGUCUUAAUUGUGUGCCAAAACUCGUAACUCAGAUAUUCAUCUCUAUGAUCAUAUCAUAGACAUUUUAUCCUCUUAUCACAAUGAUCUUCUACUUCACUCUGAAAUUACUUGAACCAUUCAAUAAUUCAGACUUGUGUUUCAUCAAGUAAAUAUUCUCAACAUCUACUCGAAUCAUCUGUGAAGUAAGAUCAUAACGAUAUUCACUGCAUGCCUCAGCACUCAUUGGAUUGGACACAUCAAAAUGUGUUACUUCCAACAAGUUGCUAUCUUGUUCCAUCUUACUGAAAACGAGGCUUUUCAGUCAUCUUGCCCAUGUGGUAUGAUUUGCAUAUCUCAAGUGAUUCAAAAUCAAGUGAGUCCAAACGGUCCAUUUGCAUGGAGUUUCUUCAUGCAUAUACACCAAUAGACAUGGUUCGCAUGUCUCAAACUUUUCAAAACGAGUGAGUCCAAAGAUCCAUCAACAUGGAGCUUCUUCAUGCGUUUUAUACCAUUAUGACUUACAUGGCAGUGCCACAAGUAAUGGUACUAUCAUUACUAUCUUAUAUCUUUUGGCAUGAAAAUGUGUAUCACUACGACCGAGAUUCAAUAAACCAUUCCUUUAGGUGCAAGACCAUUGAAGGUAUUAUUCAAAAAUAGAGUAACCAUUAUUCUCCUUAAAUGAAUAACCGUAUUGCGAUAGACAUAAUCCAAUCAUGUCUAUGCUCAACGCAAACACCAAUCUCGGUGGUAGAGGGAGCGUGCGAUGCUUGAUCAUAUCAACCUUGGAAACACUUCCAACAUAUAUCGUCAGCUCACCUUUAGCUAGUCUCCGUUUAUUCCGUAGCUUUUAUUUCGAGUUACUAACACUUAGCAACCGAACCGGUAUCCAAUACCCUGGUGCUACUAGGAGUACUAGUAAAGUACACAUUAACAUAAUGUAUAUCCAAUAUACUUCUAUCGAUCUUGCCAGCCUUCUCAUCUACCAAGUAUCUAGGGUAAUGCUGCUCCAGUGGUUGUUCCCCUUAUUACAGAAGCACUUAGUCUCGGGUUUGGGUUCAACCUUGGGUUUCUUCACUAGAGCAGCAGCUGAAUUGCCGUUUCAUGAAGUAUCCCUUUGUUCCCUUGCCCUUCUUGAAACUAGUGGUUUCACCAACCAUCAACAAUUGAUGCUCCUUCUUGAUUUCUACUUUCGCGGUGUCAAACAUCAUGAAUAUUUCAAGGAUCAUCAUAUCUAUCCCUGAUAUGUUAUAGUUAAUCACGAAGCUCUAGCAGCUUGGUGGCAAUGACUUUGGGGAAACAUCACUAUCUCAUCUGGAGGAUCAACUCCCACUCGAUUCAAGUGAUUGUUGUGCUCAGACAAUCUGAGCACAAGCUCAACGAUUUAGCUUUUCUCCCUUAGUUUGCAGGCUAAGAAAAUCGCCGGAGGUCUUAUACCUCUUGACGUGGGCACGAGCCUGAAAUCCCAAUUUCAGCCCUCGAAACAUCUCAUACGUUCCGCGACGUUUCGAAAACGUCUUUGGUGCCUCUACUUAAACCAUUUAAUUGAACUGUCACGUAGUUAUCAAAACGUGUAUGUCCGAUGUUCGCAACAUCGACAAACGACGUUGGGGUUCAGCACACUGAGCGGUGCAUUAAGGACAUAAGCUUUCUACUGAUCGCAUAAUCGCUACUAUCAACUUUCAACUAUAUUUUCUCUAGGAACAUAUCUAAACAGUGGAACUAAAGCGCGAGCUUACGACAUAAUUUGCAAAAGGUCUUUUGACUAUGUUCAGGAUAAUUAAGUUCAUCUUAUGAACUCCCACUUAGAUAGACAUCCCUCUGGUCAUCUAAGUGAUCACAUGAUCCGAGUCAACUAGGCCGUGUCCGAUCAUCACGUGAGACGGACUAGUCAUCAUCGGUGAACAUCUUCAUGUUGAUCGUAUCUACCAUACGACUCAUGCUCGACCUUUCGGUCUCCGUGUUCCGAGGCCAUGUCUGCACAUGCUAGGCUCGUCAAGUUAACCCUAAGUGUUUUCGCUGUGUAAAACUGUCUUACACCCGUUGUAUGUGAACGUAAGAAUCCAUCACACCCGAUCAUCACGUGGUGCUUAGAAGCGACGAACUGUAGCAACGGUGCACAGUUAGGGGAGAACACUUCUUGAAAUUUUGUAAGGGAUCAUCCUAUUUACUACCGUCGUCCUAAGCAAACAAGAUGCAUAAACAUGAUAAACAUCACAUGCAAUCAAAUAGUGACAUGAUAUGGCCAAUAUCAUUUUGCUCCUUUUGAUCUUCAUCUUCGGGGCUCCAUGAUCAUCAUCGUCACCGGCACGACACCAUGAUCUCCAUCAUCGUGUCUUCAUGAAGUUGUAACGCCAACGACUACUUCUACUUCUAUGACUAACGCGUUUAGCAAUAAAGUAAAGUAGUUUACAUGGCGUUCUUCAAUGACACGCAGGUCAUACAAUAAAUAAAGACAACUCCUAUGGCUCCUGCCGGUUGUCAUACUCAUCGACAUGCAAGUCGUGAAUCCUAUUACAAGAACAUGAUCAAUCUCAUACAUCACAUAUCAUUCAUCACAUUCUUCUUGGCCAUAUCACAUCACAUAGCAUACCCUGCAAAAACAAGUUAGACGUCCUCUAAUUGUUGUUUGCAUGUUUUACGUGGCUGCUAUGGGUUUCUAGCAAGAACGUUUCUUACCUACGCAAAACCACAACGUGCUAUGCCAAUUGCUAUUUACCCUUCAUAAGGACCCUUUUCAUCGAAUCCGUUCCGACUAAAGUGGGAGAGACUGGCACCCGCUAGCCACCUUAUGCACCAAGUGCAUGUCAAUCGGUGAAACCUGUCUCACGUAAGAGUACGUGUAAGGUCGGUCCGGGACACUUCAUCCCACAAUACCGUUGAAACAAGAUUGGACCAGUAACGGUAAGCAUAUUGAACAACAUCAACGCCCACAACUACUUUGUGUUCUACUCGUGCAAAGAAUAUACGCAAUAGACCUAGCUCUGAUACCACUGUUGGGGAACGUAGCAGAAAUUCAAAAUUUUCCUACGUGUCACCAAGAUCUAUCUAUGGAGAGACUAGCAAUGAGGGGAAGGAGAGUGCAUCUACAUACCCUUGUAGAUCGCUAAGCGGAAGCGUUCAAGUGAACGGGGUUGAUGGAGUCGUACUCGUCGUGAUUCAAAUCACCGAUGAUCAAGUGCCGAACGCACGGCACCUCCGCGUUCAACACACAUACAGCCCGGUGACGUCUCCCAAGCCUUGAUCCAGCAAGGAGAGAGGGAGAGGUUGAGGAAGACUCCAUCCAGCAGCAGCACAACGGCGUGGUGGUGGUGGAGGAGCGUGGCAAUCCUGCAGGGCUUCACCAAGCACCGCGGGAGAGGAGGAGUACUUGUGAGAGGGGGAGGGCUGCACCAGAACUUCGUCUAUAGCUCCCAUGCGCCUCCCCACUAUAUAUAGGGGUGGAGGGGCUGGUUUCUUGCCCUCCAAGUCCAUUGGGGCGUUGGCCAAGGUGGGAGGAAAGAAAUCUCAUUAUUUCCUUCCCCACCGAUUGUUAUCCCCCCUUUUUAGAGAUCUUGAUCUUAUCCCUUCGGGAUAUGAUCUUAUUCCUUCUAAGGGGGGAUCUUGGUGCGCCUUGACCAGGGGUGUGGGGCCUUGCCCCCACUACCCACGUCCAUGUGGGUCCCCCCAUGCAGGUGGGCCUCACUCCGGAACCUUCUAGAACCUUCCCGGUACAAUACCGAAAAACCCGAACAUUUUCCGGUGGCCAAAAUAGGACUUCCCAUAUAUAAAUCUUUACCUCCGGACCAUUGCGGAACUCCUCGUGACGUCCGGGAUCUCAUUCGGGACUCCGAACAACAUUCGGUAACCACAUACAAACUUCCUUUAUAACCCUAGCGUCAUCGAACCUUAAGUGUGUAGACCCUACGGGUUCGGGAGACAUGUAGACAUGACCGAGAUGUUCUCCGGUCAAUAACCAACAACGGGAUCUGGAUACCCAUGAUGGCUCCCACAUGUUCCACGAUGAUCUCAUCGGAUGAACCACGAUGUCAAGGACUUAAUCAAUCCCGUAUUCAAUUCCCUUUGUCUAUCGGUAUGUUACUUGCCCGAGAUUCGAUCGUCGGUAUCCAAUACCUUGUUCAAUCUCGUUACCGGCAAGUCACUUUACUCGUUCCGUAACACAUCAUCCCGUGAUCAACUCCUUGGUCACAUUGCGCAUAUGAUGAUGGCCUACCGAGUGGGCCCCGAGAUACCUCUCCGUUUACACGGAGUGACAAAUCCCAGUCUCGAUCCGCAUAAAACAAUAGAUACUUUCGGAGAUACCUGUAGUGCACCUUUAUAGUCACCCAGUUACGUUGUGACGUUUGAUACACCCAAAGCACUCCUACGGUAUCCAGGAGUUACACGCUCUCAUGGUCGAAGGAAGAGAUACUUGACAUUGGCAAAGCUCUAGCAAAUGAACUACACGAUCUUUUGUGCUAGUCUUAGGAUUGGGUCUUGUCCAUCACAUCAUUCUCCUAAUGAUGUGAUCUCGUUAUCAACGACAUCCAAUGUCCAUAGCCAGGAAACCAUGACUAUCUGUUGAUCACAACGAGCUAGUCAACUAGAGGCUCACUAGGGACAUAUUGUGGUCUAUGUAUUCACACGUGUAUUACGAUUUCCGGAUAAUACAGUUAUAGCAUGAAUAAAAGACAAUUAUCAUGAACAAGGAAAUAUAAUAAUAAUACUUUUAUUAUUGCCUCUAGGGCAUAUUUCCAACAUGGCACCUCACAUGACUAAGACGUCGGAGAAGGAAACCAUACCUGUCAUCCACGAACCAUGAGCCCAGCACACGUUCGAUCUUCCAGAUGUGUGAUGCAGAUCACAGUACGCAUCCGCUUCUCGACUACCUCCCAAGCUCCGCGCCGAUGUUGGAGUAGACGUCGUCGCAACGACGGAGCCCGAGGACACUAGUCCACCAUGAGGGUGAUGCUGCCACCACACCAUCUUUACUUGAACAAACUGAUUUCUAAAUCCAUCAUCCAUUCCCAACCAUAGGACCGAUUGCCUCGUUGGAGACAAAUCUCAACCUUCUUUAUUCAGCGCCGCCAUCGCCGCCUCCAAAGUGAAGACGAUGAAUGGCUGGAAAACCAAAGUUACUAGGGCCUAACCUAAAGCUACACGAUCCACACACGUAGAUCUGGCGACCCCUCUCACCACCGACGACCGAGGUCGCCGGCGGAGGGGAGCCGCCGGAGGAACGAGGCUAAGGGACUCCCCUGGCGGCGGCUAGGGCUUCUAGUCGCAGAGCCUCUGAGGAAAAGAAAAGCGGGAACAAAGCGAGUUGAAAACUUCAAAUAUCGUGCAGGUCCACGGUUGCAUACGUACGUAUAGAAAACACAUAAGCCCGCACGUAUCGACUGCCUGCGUCCAGCCUCCUGAUCGCCUGGUUUCCAUGGCCGAUUCCACUGGGCCCUGCCCUUACUCUGUAUAUUGUGGUCGCUAACGUGUCAAACAGGAUUGAACGGGCGAGUUUGUUACUCGGUACGGAUAGAGAGAGAGAGAGAUGCGAGAGAUGCGAGAGAGAGGCUACCGCACGGUUUAAACGGGAUUAACUUGCUUUUUGGCGGGUGAUUACAUGAGGUUGGAUGAUUUUCCCAAAGUUGUUUCAAUGACCACUUGCUUUUUGGCAGCACGGCAGAGAGAGGGGGUGAGAUAGACGUUGUGCUACAUGGAAACAGAUUUUAGUUGGAUCUGAUCGAUCUUUCUACACCAUCAAGAAUUAAUAUAUGUAUGUAUAUAUGGAAAGUAAAGUCAGAUAGUAGAGAGAGAGGAGAGGAGUCUUCUAGAUAUAGCUAGGAGUACCGGGAGAGGAUCUGUAGCACACAGGUGCGAGGGCACCGAGCCCCUUGCGUCUGCAUUUUCUUUUGGCUUUCAAUUUUAAUCUUUCUUAUCUUGUCAACCGAAAGUACAAAUUAAAAUCUCCUUUCAAAUAAGAUCCAUUUUAAAUACAUUUUGACCAGUUUCUAAAAUUGUGUUAUGUUUUAACUUCUAAAACUCAGUACAAGCGACAGACAAAAUCACAACUUUAAUACCUGUGGCUGACAAAAAAUAGCUUAAAAUUUAACUCUGAAACUUGAUAGUAGCGACCACGAAAAUCAUAUGUUUCAGAAGCAAAAUCGCAAGUUUUAGAACUUAAAACUUACUGUGUGCUCGUGAUCGGACGACUUUGUGGACCGCCAUGCAAAUCGGGCGGCCGAGCAGUCUAGGUGGGUGCGUACUUCCGCACAUGCGUGCCCUUGCAAAUUUCCCUAGGAGAACCGAGCGGUUAAGCAUCAACCACAUGGAGGCUGCAACAGAUUGACUACCUCCCCCACUAGUCGUCGUUGCUGUCCUUCGAGCAACCUGUGUUGAGCUUCUGUUUUCAUCUCUCUACUUGUCAGCGACCUUAGACUGAUUGCUGAAGCUGUCUCUCCUGUAUCUGAACCAGCAGGUGCCGACAACCGCCAGACAUCUACAAUAGAAGAAUGCCGACCCAAAUCAUCAACGCCCAAGAGACUUUCUUAGUGGCUUGCUAGCCCAAACUAGACAAGUUAAAGCGGGUGUAAUUUAUUUGCGGUACAAAUACCCGUUGUACGGCUUUGGCCAAAUUGGCUGUAAUUUGGAUAAUUGAGUCGGUGCAUGGGAGGAACAACCACCUCUAUAUAUAAAUUCGAGUUGAAUUCAUGAAUUUCCUAGCUCAUGUGAGCCAGAUCUAGUUACUAGUUCACAGUUCGUAUUCAUAGCCAUCGUCCUGGGCAUCACGACCACUGCACUCGAUUCAGUGAUCGCCGGUGCGAGCAAGCCAUGGAGGAGCUGGGUAUCGAAGGUCGCUUGGUCUAUGAACUUCUUCGCACGGACUUCGCCAUCGACUUGUAGAAAAAACUCAAGGAUCAAGGUGAAUCAUUGCUCCGUUCCAUGAGCAGUUACUGAAGGCGGACAAUUCUACGCUUGAUGGUCUCGUGUCGUCGAGGGUUGAUGACAUUUGAGAAUAGCUGGCACUAGACAUUGACCAGAUCAAGGCAGAUCUGCACAAGGCCCUUGCCUUGAUCAUGAUCACCGGGGGAAAGCACAUAACCUAUAUCUCCAUCCCGCGGUCAGAGGUGUGCUCGAUUCUAUUUUCUCCCCAAAAUUUUCCUCAUCUCGUGAUUUUCCUGUUUCGGAUGCUACCGAAUCAUCUUCGUUUGCUCUGCAUUUUGACCUUCCAAAAUUUGACGGAGCAAAUCCGUAGUUUUGGCAGAACUAUUACUCGCAUGCAUAGAUGAAUCUCUAUGGCCGCACCUCAAUUUGAAGGGGCCACUUUUUUUUUUUAAAGGAGACUUCCCGGCUUCUGCAUCAGAACAAUGCAUACGGCAACUUAUUAAAUAAGUAAACAGGUACAAUAAGGUCUUAAAGUCUCAAACAAAAAAUAAAAGAGAGCUCACAGAGAGCCAAAAAGGCCAAAAACAAACUAGCCACAAAAAGCCACAACCGGCUGGCAUAAGAGAGAUAGGUAAAUUAACUGCCUAUCGUAUUACAUGACCGUCAUCCAAACCGGUUGAAGAUAUCCCAAACUACCAUCUCCCAGCGGAGAGAUCCAGUAACCAAAUGCUCCCUGGCCUCCGUCGGAGUGAGUAGCGACCACAUAUGGAUCAACGCAGUGGUUCGAAAAAUAAACUGCAAAAAACAAAUAUUUGUUGAUAUGUUAAAAACCAAAUCAUUUCUGCAGUUUCAGACUGCCCACAAUAAAGCACAAACUCCUACUCGAAUGUGUCUUGCUGUUUCGGACCAAGGUCCGUGGCAUGCAUUUUUCUCGGCUAUCCCCCCGACACCAAAGGCUACAGUUGCUAUGAUCCUACCUCACAUCGGGUGAUCACUUCCCAACAUGUUUACUUUGAUGAGAUGGUUUUUUCGUUUCAGCAGGUACCUUCGGAUGUUGCGGCUUUGCCCGCUCCCGGUGACGGCCGCUCGCGUGCUUCUCUUGGGCCGCCUCCCGGCUUUGAGAGUGACCCCCGCGCCACGGGUCGAGUUUCUCCCCGGCUGGCUGCCUUAGGGGCUGCACCCCUCCCGGCGCCCGCGACGCCCUUGGCAUCCCCGGCCCCGACCGCGCUGUCGGCCUCCUCGACGCCUGCGACGCCGUCGGCCUCCCCAGCGGCCGCGACGCCCUCCUCGGCGUCUCCCGCGGCCUCGCCCGCGGCAUCGGAGGUGGCAGGCUCUUCUUCAUCUUCGCCCGCCGCCGACCCAGACUCGCUGACCCGCCCGAUGACUCACUCUCGGGCUGCACUUUCCGCCCGAGUACGCGGUACACCAGCGAUGAGUACCUUCUCGCUGCUUCCGUCUGUAAGCCGUCUCCUCUCCCAUCGUCAGCUCGAGCCGCCCUUCGGGAUCCUUAUUGGCUCGCUGCGAUGUAGGAAGUGUUCGACGCGCUCCAACGGAACCGUACCUGGCAGCUUGUUCCUCGGCCGCCUCGUGCCAACAUCAUCAUGGGCAAGUGGGUGUUUUGGCACAAGACUCGUCCUUCUAGAUGCCUUGAAUCCGUGCGCCGCUUUUCAAAUGUAAGGUGGACUAGAUUUUGCUCUGCUCUUUCGAACAUGCUUGGCAAAAACCAACACCAAAACCUUCUCAGAAGAACUGUUCCAAAUUUUGCAAACCAACACGGUGGAAGAGUAUGUUCAGCGUUUUGUUGAAUUAUACGAGGGGUUAAUACAUUUAGAAAGUUUUAAACAGAUUAAAAAAAUUGACUUUUGGUUUCAUGUCAUCAAAAGCAAUCUUCUCCCUCGAGACAAAGUGCAUCAAUAUCUCAAGGAUGAAGGUAAAGACUGAAACCAUUUGAAACACAAGUCAUUGUAUCAUAAGCAGUCUGUUUUGCAGCCAAGAAAUUAGCGGCUUGGGUAGAACUUGUGCUCACUUGAGGAGGACUUCACUGCCACAGUUAGGUAGACCUUUAAUCAUGUCUAGGAAAAACAAGCAAACGACAUGGGCAAUUGUACAAAGAUUUAUUUAUCCUAGUAACUAAGCACAUAGCCAAAACAAUUGGGUAGACCUUUAAUUUGGAACUGAGUGAUUGCAUCUGACUAAAUGUUUGUAUCCCGAGGGAGUUGGCAGGGAAGGGUUUGCCACACAAACUAAGGUCUAAGAUUUUUAAAGACAGAUUGAGUUUAUAGUCUUGUAGCUCAUCCCUUUUUUUAAAGUCUUGGAGCUCCUCAACCUCCUGAAAUUGUCCAAAAACAGCAAACGAAUGACUAAAAGCACACAAAUUCCAAUCAAUAUCACCUGCAGAAAAUGCAUGUUACAUGAAGCAUAUGAAAUCAAUAUGUCAAAACAGAUAUGCACCGGCAUUUGUCCUCGAGUCCCGAACACGGAAUAGGAUACCGUGUCUUGAGCUCCAGAAUACAUGUUUGGAUACUAGUUCCGACCAACGAGUGCAUAAAUGAAUUGGCGAAUGAACCAUCGAAGUCAACUACAUAUCCGGCAGUGUUCCAUAAUGUGGAAGUUAGGAUUAUAUUGCAAACUUAAUACAAGAUUACAAUCGGCUAAUAGUGUAUGUGACACGGCAAAGAUAGUGUGUCGUACUUCCUUUUUUACUUGAUAUUGCAAACAAGGACUGAUGAAGAAUAAACACCACAUAGUGUGUAUCACAAACAUACCUGCAGGUUCAAUAUGUUCCUGAGAGAAGGAACAUCAUAAUCAGAACAUUAUUUUAUAGAAAUAAAGCUCGCAACAUAGGAUUGUUUUGUACGAAGAAGAUUGUCCCUUACCUCCUUUUUCUGUUUGAUACUAAUGCAACACUGGAAUUGUCAGAAAGCUACCAUCAGAAGUGUUGUUUCUCUCCAAAUGAGGCACAGUUUGCAGAAUGAAAUCAUGCUACCAACAGAACAAGUAAACCUGCUGUCAAAUGCUCCAAUUAUUCGGGUCUGCUGAUAGUUCUUCAAAAAGAAAGAUUCCAGAAUGAAUUGCCACUAGUAGAAAAAGGGUCAAACGUGAAGCACAUUAGUGCCGGUUUGAAUUUGAUAGAGACAGCCUACGGCCUGUUUGAAAUUUUUUAGAAUCCUCAAAUUCCAAAACGAAAAAAAGAUAUGGUCAAAUUUCAGUUUUUUUUAAAAGAAAUUGGUUAAAUAUGAUCAAACUACUUAUUCAAGAAGUCUUAAUGUUACUACAUAAUUAUUCAAGAAUAUUAGUGUUACUAAAUAAUUAUUUCAAUUUUUUAAAUUUUGGUCAAAUCUAGUCAAACUAUGGUCAAACUUAUUCAAGAAAUAUUAGUGUUACUAAAUAAUUACUAUUUUUUAGAAUAAUAGUUUCAAACUCAAAGGGUGAAACAUGUGACCUAAUGCUCAAGCUAAACUGCUGAGGGUUAAUAGGAUUGACAGCUUACAUUUGUCAGGAAAACAACAAGUGCAAACUUGAAAUAUAGGGGGAAUAGAACUCCAAAGUUAAGCGUGCUCAGGCUAGGGGAGUGAGAGUAUGGGUGACCGGCGGGAGUGAGAGGAUGGGUGACCGGCCGGGAAGUCAGGCGAUUUGGAAUGAGUGAUCCACACUUGAGCAGUUAAGAGAGGUGAUUAGAGACUAAAUCAUCAAAUAGUUCAGAAAAAUUAAAAAUCAAUUUUUUUCCAAUUUUUUUUUAAAAAGACAGGGCGCGAGCUCACGCCACGUGGUGGCACUUUAGCGNNNNNNNNNNNNNNNNNNNNNNNNNNNNNNNNNNNNNNNNNNNNNNNNNNNNNNNNNNNNNNNNNNNNNNNNNNNNNNNNNNNNNNNNNNNNNNNNNNNNNNNNNNNNNNNNNNNNNNNNNNNNNNNNNNNNNNNNNNNNNNNNNNNNNNNNNNNNNNNNNNNNNNNNNNNNNNNNNNNNNNNNNNNNNNNNNNNNNNNNNNNNNNNNNNNNNNNNNNNNNNNNNNNNNNNNNNNNNNNNNNNNNNNNNNNNNNNNNNNNNNNNNNNNNNNNNNNNNNNNNNNNNNNNNNNNNNNNNNNNNNNNNNNNNNNNNNNNNNNNNNNNNNNNNNNNNNNNNNNNNNNNNNNNNNNNNNNNNNCCGGCACUAAAGGCCCUUACGAACCGACGCUAAAGCUCCGUUUUCUAUUAGUGUGCCAUAAUUUUCCAUCUAGCAAAUUCCUCCUUCAUAAAAUUUCCCAAAAGCGAAACCCUGCAGCUACCACAUCCAAACCGUAACAUGUCAUUGCAGAAAUAAGUGCACUGUAAUAAGAGAGAAGAAAAAUUAGCAAAACUUUAUAGGAAAUCAUUAGUCCAGCUUGCAAAAAAAAUGUACAAACGCAGAAGGAUGUGAAUGGGGUACAGAUUCGGUGUGUAAACUAAUGGCUGCAUGCAAUGUGAAUGGAAAAAUGAACGAAAAAGCAUAAGUUGAUUUUUGGUGCUUAUGGGCAGAUUGACUUGAAUGCACGUGUGAUCCUAAGAGCAUCUCCAGCCGCGCCCCAGAAAGGCCUCCCCAGGCGAUUUUUUCGCGCCGGCGCAGGAAAAUAGGCUCAGCCGCGCCCUCAGGAGCCCGAUUUUCACCGGCUUGGGCCGAAAUUAGCGCCGGCGGACCUAGGCCGAACCCGGCGCGCUGGGGGGACGCUCGGGGACGCCGGGGCGAGCGGUUUUGGCGCGAAAGAGCCGCGGGCCCGCCGCGUCAGCGACACCGCACGUCGUCUUCCCCCCACGCCUCGGUUUCCCGCGGGGAAUCAAUGGCAAGGCUGCCACCGGUCAGCCUUACCAUUGAUUCCUGACGGGCGGCGCCGACGCCUCCCCUCCCUCGCAUGCGUACACACGGGCGCGGCGCGGCUAUAUAAAGCCGGCGGCUUCCCUCUCCUCUGGCCACACCAACCCUAGCCCUAGCCGCCGAGCUCUGCCUCUCCCGAGAGCUGCCGUCGAGCCCCCCUCUAGUGAGCGCCGCCGUCAAGCCCUCGCUCUCCCUCCCCUCCCGAUGGCCGAGCGUUUCCCCGGAGACGAGGCGGCGGCCAACGGCUUCGGCCGCCGCUCGGUCCGCGAACAGGAGUCUUGGCUCCUGUUCCAGGCGAACAUCCCGGCGCCGCCGGACAUGCGCGCUGGGCCGACGGGCUGGAAGCUCAGCAACGGCGGAGUGCCCAUUCCCCCGCUGCCCGACGCUGUGGCCAAACCCGGGUACUUCACCGAGGAGGUCGACGUCGUGCGCGCCUCCCUCACCGACGCCCAACUCUCCCUCCCCCAGUACGCCGCCGACAACCAUGCGGCUUGGGGGGCGUAUUUCGAGCGCCGUCAGCGGCAGUGGCUGGCGUCCACCAACGACGUGGCGGUGGUCGGCGGCCAGAAGAACAGCAAGGGGCGCCACCUGUGGUGGGGCGUCCCCGGCCGCACACUCGAGGGCGGCAACGACCCACCGUUGGCAUACCCCCCGGCGAGGGCGGCCGCCCAGGCGCACCAUCGACGCGACCGGCCAUGGGCGCCAAGGAGGUUCGGCUCCUCCUCCUCGUGCUCUUCCUCGCACUCAUCCGGCACUCCGGCGUUGCUCGGCGUCAAGGCCGAACCCGCGGCGGAGUCGUCGCUCGGCCGACGCACUCGCAGCGCCGGCAUCAUCAUCAGCGAGGGCGGCCGGCGCGCCUCCUCGUCGGCUCCUCCUCCGCGCUUCGUCAAGCCAAAGACGGAGCCGGGGCUCGCACCGGUGAAGGCAGAGCCGGGGCUCGCCGCCGUGAAGACGGAGCACGGCGAGGUCGAGCGCGACGACGACGCGACCCUUGAAUGGGCACGCCAGGACUCUCCCAAGAUGACGAUGGAGCGCCAGUGCGCCGCCCUGCAGCGCUUCGCGGAGCGCCGCCGGGGCCGCGACGAAGGAGGAGUCGUCGUCAUCGACGAUAGCGACGACAACGACGCGCCACCGCCACCACCAGUCCGCCAUGGCGACGCCGGGUCCAGCAGGGGCGCCCGCGUCAAGGAGGAGAAGGCCGACGACGAGGAUGGCGGUGAAGACGGCGACUACUCGGUGUUCAGCAAAUUUCUUUUAGAUUAGUUUAUAUAUUUGCUAUGUAAUGAAAAUCGGCGAACUUUGUCCAAAUAUAUGCCCAAGUUGACCGAAAUUUGUCGUAUUUAGCCGAACUUCGCCCAACUGUGCCAAAAUUUGCUAUAUUUUUUUAUUUAAUCGCGUCUGGGGGCGGCCCUGGGGCCGGCGGCUGAGGACCAACUCGCCCCCCAAGCCCAUUUUUUGCACCGACUCACCCCCAAGCGACGAUUUUAGGCGCCCCCUGGGCAGGGCCGUACCUAAGAAAACGGAGGCCCGGUGCAAGGUCAAAACGUGGGCCCUCAAUUUUACAUAUUUUUCUUGCUCUUUUCUAUAUCAUGAUUCAUACUUCUUAAUUCCAAAGUCAUUUCAGAAAGUAAAACAAAGAGAAAUAAAAACUGAACAUGGAGAUAAUAGGGAAUGAAGUAACCUGACAAAUGUGAGAAAUAAACUAUGGGGCGGCACCGUGUGUAGCUUUCGCUUUUUUUCUUGACGAACCAAAAUUUGGCUCGCAAAAUAAAAAAUUGGCGACCAAGAACUCAUAGGCUCCAACUUUAGUUCAGGCUCCAGUUGAUGUUGAUGCACACAGGUCACAUGGGCUUGCAACUGGCAGCGACGGAGGUUGAGCAAAACACUGAUCUGCUGGCCUGCUGAUUUGAGAUUUGAAAACAUAACACCAAAUAAACAGAUGGGGGUUGAGAAUAGAACGUUGCCUAUCUUGUUGUUCAUCGCAACAUUAUAUUGGGGAAGUCUUGAAGAAUUAAUAGGUGGGGAUUGGGAAUGGAAUUACUAGCAAAGAGUGGAGAUUGAUGAGGAUUUAAUACUUGAGAAGGGAAACGAGCCUGAGGUUUGUGGAAGACAAAGAGCUAGAGAGCCAAGUGAGAGGAGAGGAGAGGCUGGAUAAUUAUUUUGUGCAAGUUCCAAUGUACUUACUAGUUGGCUGAGUUAAUUCAAUGCCUAGAGAGAGUAGUACUAGUAGUACAUUCCCUACUCCUACUUUGAUUAUUCAACGCUCAACGCUAAUUACCACUCUUACUCCUGCUCCUCCUACUAAAUUAUCAGUUGAUUAGUAGGAAAUAUGCCAGGAUUUGGGGCCCUGCUGAUUUGGGGGCCGUGCACACCCUGCAUAGGUGCCUGAUACGGGCCUGCCACAGGGGGCCAACGGCUGGAGAUGCUCUAAUGCACAUAGCUCCACAAUGUUGACACUUGACGCAGAUAAAUCUACCACUCUACAGUUAAAACAUGCAGCCCGUCAGGUCUCGGAAGAGCUAGGCAAAUGGGGUGGCAUGCAUCACCUCAAAUUAAUACUGGGCGUGGGUUACAUACAUGUUUCUUGAGAAACCAAUCCAGAAGUCUGAAGAAAAUUAAUAAUGCAGCAGGAGGGGCAAGACGACGCCGACGGGGAAGAUGAGCAGGAUGGGCAAUAGUAUGUCGAUCCCUUUCUCUCUCUUUCCGCGUUUCCCCAUCGAGGUCCAAAUCCGGAUUGCGGAGGCUGAAAACAGGCUUUUGUCACCACGUAGGAUGGGGGAGACAUUCCGCCUCGGCCGCGGCUCAUAUGCUCCCCUGGCUCGCGGUGGCGGCGGCCCCUGACCACCUCGGCAAUCGGCGGUCGGCGGAUUCCUCCCGACGGCGUGGUCGUCAUUCGCGUCAUACAGAGAGGAGGGAGGCGGAAUGGCGUCAGCGGCGGCGGCUAAUGACGGAGGAGGAGGGAGGAGUGCGGCGCUCGUGAGGUGCAGCGCAGGUGUGUGGAUCACGAAGAAAGGGGGCAGGGUUUGUGCGUUGCGGUGGGCUAGCGAAUGGGCUGGGAGAACAGGCCCAGUUAACAACAGGGCUGCGUUUCGGCCUCGGGAGCAGCAGCCCAUAGGACAGUUGGGCCAGUAUUUACCAGAUGCGGAAUAGAUGGCUUUACACGGUAGAUCUGACGGCUGAAAUGUCUAGAUCGCGAAAACGGACGGCCGGAAGCGCAAAUCACUUGUUUAUUUGAUUUUGCAGGGCCUGGUGACGAUGAUAGAGCCUGGCGAUGAUGGCUAAUAGAAAUUGUUACUGAAUUAUCAUGUCAAUUUAGAUCACCAAAUAGGUAGAAUUGCUCAAGUACAAAUGUACAAUUCACGUUUCAGUUACAAUUUAAGCUUAUUGGCCAUGUUCAUAACUUUCUAAUAACUGAGGCAGAGUAUGUUUUCUAGAAAUGAUCCAUCGUAACCAAAUGUCUCACCACCUAAUGUUGCAUUGAGAAGCUACAGUACAAAAACCUAGCUAGAUGUAAUCUUUAGUUUGUGCACUUAAUAUCCAUUGCUAUAUUUAUCAGCAUAUUAGAAGUUGACUCUAUUUUGUUUAUGUGUCAAAGACUUCUUCAGUACUUCCUUUGUGCAAUACGAAAUGGUUUCUUUGUUCAUUUACAAGAUACAAGAAAAAUCAUUUACAAUACGGAAAUGCGUUCAAUAAAUUUGAAAUAAUCAUUUACACCCUAUUAGCUAUUCAUAUCUUCUAUCAUCUCUUCUACUUUUAGUUUGUUGAAUGCUCAAAUGGUUUCUUGCCCGCUGCGUACUGUAGGGACUGAUAAUUCCAGUACAUUCUUCAUGCUAAUUAGGGAUGAACCAUGCGUACAAGCAAUACCGAUUGUUUUCUUUAUUAAGGUUACUAUGCAAAAAUAAAUUUUGGCCUCCUUUCUGUUAUCCCCAGUGCUAUCAUUUAUCAACUCUUUGCAUCAUUCAAAAUAAAGCAAAAUCCAUUUGAUUAGAAGGAAUGGAAUUUGAUAGCUAUAUUCUUAAGUGAUGCUAUUUUGUUUACUUGCUAGCUCAGAUCAGCUAAGCAUAAUACUACUUGGUUUGGUUGGUUGCUGUUUAAUUAAUCAUGUAAACAUGGUCUUUCUCUUCUACAUGCACCAUCUGUAUCUUUUAUUUAUUAUUAAAAACAAAAAGGGGGAAGCAUAAAAAAAACAAGUGCAUGUAUUUUCUAUUUUUUUAUGGAGUUCAUUGCAGUGCAAUUCUCUGUAUUGCCACUUGUGAUGCUAGAGAUCUGUAAAUAUGAAUGCUAAUUGUCCUCUCUUUAAGGUUGUGAGUUGCAGAAUAUGUGAUGAACUGAUUUUCCACUAUGGUAUAAGUUUUGCAUUCACUCAGGCAUGUGAUUUAUUAUAGAAUAGCCUUUAUGGAUGUUGUCGAUUUUCUCGAAUGAUAAUGGUAUUUUCAAGCUUAGUCAACUGCAUUACAGAAAUAGCAUUUUUGUCCGUGCUUUUAUUGAAAAACAUUAGGACCAGUGUCGCUUAUGUAUUUUCCGAUCUUUCUCUGCUAUAUAUUGCAUGUAUUAAGUUUCAAUUAUUGUUGAUGAACUCCCAUAUUCUAUGUUGGAAGAAUAUCUUGCACUUUUACAACAUUGUAUAGUUAAGAUCAUCUAGAAGAACCUUGAAAGUAGGAUAAUAUUUUGAGGUUACGCUAGAAUUCCUUGUUGUUCUUUAAUCAUUUUACUCGUGAAGAUUAUUGUUUGUGUACAAUAUCGUGUGACGCAAAGAGAAUAACAUAUGGUUGGAAGUUUUUGAUAAAGCUACAUGUUAUAAUUAGUCUCCAUAGGAUCUACAAUUUUUUAAUCAUUUUAUUUGAUAAGUGGAUGGGCCAUGUGCCAUGAAAGUAAAUUUCCAACACUAACGAAAACUGCAUCUAAUCUGUUGCCUCUCAUGCCAUCAGUUGUUUGGACCGUUCAUUUUUAAGAUUGGUCUGUUUCUGGCCGUUGGAUGCACGUGGGUCUCUGUUUUGUGUGAAAACGUGACCACCAGCUGGGCCUGAUGUCUUAAGAGCAGCUAUUUUGGAGUAUUGUCGUUAAUUGCGCCAGACAACCCAUCUAAGGCCUUGUACAAUGGAAGAUGCUUAGAGAGAUGUUUAGAAAAAUAAACCGAGAUUUUCUCAGGCACCGGUGCCUAUUUCUAUAGGAGAGACGCUUAGUUAAGCGUCUACCCUGUACAAAUAAGAACGGGUGCUUAAGGAAAGUCUGGUUUAUUUCUCUAACCACCUCCCCUAAGCACCUCUCAUUGUAGAAGGCCUAAGGAAGCCAGAGGAGGCGGUCGACGGAGCCCAGUCGCGCGAGUGGAUCGAGCACCAAGAUCCCAACCGAGGCGAGCGAGGAGGCGCGCAAGGAUCGAACGCGACACGCUUCAGCCAAGGUUGCAAGGGAAGCCGAUCCAGCCGACGAGGGAAUCCAGUGGACACGCUGGAUGCGGAUGAAUCAGAGGCCCGGUCGAUCCUCAACGAAGUGGGAAGGAGGACGCGUGCGAUGAUGGCCGGCAACGCAUCUGAUGGGAACUGAUCGCAAUCGUACUUCAGUUUCUAAGAGCGCAUUCAUGGCGAUUGUUAUGCCCAUACUUUCCGACAGCACAAGCAUCUUUCAGCAUCAUGCUCUGGUAUUACUUAUGCAAGAUUCCUUAAGAUUCGUCAUUGAGGUUUACAAUCGUUCAUUAUUAUUUUAGUUGUUCUUUAAGAUUCGUCAUUGUGCCCUACAUGAGUCCCUAUCAAAAUUUGCAUGUGUUAACUCUGUAUGUAUGUAUGCAAUUUGAUAUUUUAUAAUACUAACAUUUGUCCACUUUGUCCUAAAGUAGUUUUUGUUGCUUGGAGGUGAGCAGAGCGAAGGUGUCCCAUUAUCAUGAUUCAGCAGACUCAUGUUAUUCUCUUUAUUGUCAAUGCAACCGAUUCCAGUUUAUAUCUCUACUUGGAAUAAAAAAAUACAUAUAUGAACCUGACUUCUUAUGUAGCUAUGUUCAAUGAACACAGCAGCAUGUUUUUGUUGGGCUGCAGACAUCCCCGUUCUGCGACAGGUGAUACAUAGGGAAUUAGGAUUUUAGAAAAUUUGCAUCCAGAAAUCUUCGGAAGUAAAACAUGUAAAUGUGGACAAGUAUGAAAGCAAUACAAAAGACAACAUUUUAAUUUUCAAGUUAUAAAGUGGAAUCCAUAGAUUACACAUGAAUGUUGUCUCCUAAAAGUGAAUAAUAACAAGACAUCCGUUCAUUCAAAUUGGUGAAUAUUUCUCAAGAUGGGUAAGAUUGACUUUCUCAGAUAGUGUGCAGUAUUAUGACCGUCCCUUUGACUACAUACAUGUUUGUCUCUAUGUUGUGAACUUGCAAGACCUGGAAGAACCAACCUAUAUGUUUAAAUUUUGAAAUCUUGGUGAUGUUGUUUUCCCCCUCUUUGCGCACACUUCUCCUAUUGUUUUAGCGACAAACACUUCAUUGCUAAUCAGCCUUUCAAUGACUAUAUCCUUUUUGGCUGAUAGUCUCCUUAAACCUUUAAAUCAGUUUUUUUAACUGGUGCUCAAUAUAAUGGAUUAUAAUGGUCAGCUGCUUAAUAUAAGAGCUUGGUAACUUGACUUUACGAAUUUAUCGUCCCUUUUUUGAAAUAUUUUCUGUCAAUUCUGAGCUCAAUAUAAUGAAUACAAUUUUGCAAACAGAUUAUUUAUGUAUGUUUCUUAGAAAACAUUGCUCCUUGAAUAAUACCCCAUGAUACUUAAACAAGCUAUAUGUCACUUUUACCAGUUCAGUUUGGUGGUGGUUUAUAUUGAGGAUUUGAUCAUUGCUCAUGCAUGCUAAAAGAUUUAUCUGACAUGCAGUUUUGUUCAGGUACAUUUCAUUCUUUUGUACAAUGAAAACUAUUGUUGGUAUAUUUGAUAGCUAGACUGUGCACAUAAGUGUAGAGGCCAUUAGUUAUGUUGUUCAAGCUAUGUUGGUAUCUGUUUGAAGAUUAAUUCCAGUUGGAUAUGUUCCAUUGUCAUCUGACAUUUAAUAGUAAAAUAUACUAUUGAAAAUUAGUUAAAUAUACAUUGAACAGUUCAAAUAAAGAAAUGUCAUGUCAGAUAAGUUAAGCUGACUACAUAUUUGUCAAUGGCUUCCUCAAAUGUAGGUUUCAAAUCAAAUGUCAUUCAAAACUCAUCCUUGAAUUACUUUUAUACUUGAAUAACCGGACUACAUCAUGGAGUUGUCGUCUUUGAAGUUUGAUGAAAUAAGGCCCAUGGUUGUUUGUUUUCCACUCUUAAAUUGCCUUUAGUUUGAAAUAAGGCGCAUGGUUGUUUGCUUUCCACUCUUAAAUUGCCUUUUUGACAACAACAAAAAACUAUACUAAUAGGACUUUUGAUUUUCCCUUCUUCCUGUACUUUUUCUAUAUCACAAAGAAUUGUUCAUGCCUUAUCUGUCCAUUUCAUGUUGACAUUUCAACUUGACCAUUACGAGAGCAUCAUGAUUUUAUUUAUGAUUAUUGCUGUUGUAGAGGUGUUAAAUAUAUAAAGUAUGAAAGGUAUAAUUUCAUGAAAGUACUUUGUAAUAUCAGCUUCCUUUGCCUGAUUGAUGUUGCUUUACAGUCUUAUUUGUCGGCAUUUUGUUCAGCGAGUUAAUGCUUUUUCCAUGCUGUGAGGUCAUAUAUGUUGCAGGCACAGAGCAGCAAAGAUUUUUCCAUAGACACAAAAGCAAUGCUCCCGCUGUAGCAUUAAUUACACACACUCGUAUUUCCUAGGCUGCUAUAUAAAUACGUACAAAAGGAUUGCUAUAUCAAAUACACGUUUAUGAUCAAUGCGUAUUAUCUUCCUUCUGACAAUGCUUACCCUGCUUACAGUAAUCUACAUGGGUCUGGUUCCUUUUAAUAUCAAUAUUUGUCAUCAGAUUCUGAUAUACAUUGUUUCUGUCCAAAAUAUACAGGGUGCACAUUUUCUACAUUUAAUUUCGACUAAGACUUUCUUUUCUUGGUGGUAUGAUCACUUACCAGUAAUUUGAUGGUUAUCUAUAUAUAUAUAUAUAUAUAUAUAUAUAUAUUGAAUUUUCAUAGCAUUUUAACCUCCGAUAUCAAUAUAUUUUCAUAAUAUAAAUUGUUCAAUUUCAUUUCCAAUGUAUUUUACUCAUAUAUUUUUAUUAUUUCAUAAUAUGAAUGGUAUGACAAAUAUAUGAUUUAGUCGUUUGCAAAAAAAAUUCUUGACUCAUGUAUUUUUCAAAAUUCCUUUCAUUCUUUUAAAAAUAGACGGGCGCGGCAACACGCGCCAUCAAUGAUCUAGUCAUAAGUGAUGUCCCGACCAGAUUCUUUCAACAUCAAUGAUUUUACUUUUUGGCAAGAUACUUUGGAGGUACGUAAAGCUAUAGAUCAGCGAUGGAUCAACGUUGAGGUCAGGUAAAGAGGCGAUCUGUCCACUUCUUCUAGGGUGGCUGCUACGGUGGUGCCGGAGUUGAGUGACGGGCAUUGGUAUCUUGCUCAAGGGUUUCUUCAGCCAAGACUAGCUAAGGGUAGUUUUUGCAAUAGCUAGGGUUGUCCUAUAUUUUUUGGUUCUGUCAAGUCGGUGUUUAAGUGGAUUGUAAUUUGAUAUUUAUUUUAUAAUUGAGACACACAUUACAUCAUGAAAGGAAAAAUCAAGGCUACAGAUCAACAUGACCUCGUGUGUCCCGCAUGACCGCCCAGGACCUGUGUAUUGCGUACGCCGGAUCGUAGGCGCAUACACGAUAUUAGAGCAACUCUAGCAGACCCCGCAUCCCGCCCCGAUUCGCAAAAUAACUGCCAAAGUGCGGGUCGGGGCGCGAAAAACGUCCAGAUCAGACCCCGCAUCCCGCCCCGGCCCGCAAAUUUUUUUGCGGGGCACGGCAAAACAUCUCCCCCAACCUCUAGAUUCACGGGCUAGAGGGACGACCCGAGCUCAGCCCCUAUCCGCAACGAGAUUUGGUGGGAGGGACAUUUCAGCGUGGCCGUUCCCGCUCCCCCCGCCCUCCGCCACCAUUGCCCCACCACCGCACGCUCCCCAGCCGUCCUUCACCACCAUGGAUGACUCCCUGCUGUCCCCCGUCAUGGUCGAGGUCGCUAGCGCUCCUUCUCCUCGGGCGGAUCUCGUCGCCGGCCCUAUUGGCCCCGCCAUGGCCCAAGGUCAAUCCGCGCCUGCCCGCAAGCGGCAGGGCAACGUGGUCAUGCAGGGCAGCGCUCUGGUAGCCCCUCCCCCCGAGGGCCCGCGCUCCAGGCACCAACGCUGCUGCGUGAUCUCGGCCGGCGGCGGAGAAGGUCGCAAAGGUCGCCGGCGUCAAGAGGAAGAAGAUUCUGGCCACAAAGAAGCCGCCUCCUUCAUCCGCUCACUCCGGCCUGGAAAGAGGUGCCCCGGGAUGCCGCUCAACGGUGCCGCUCCCCCCACAAGCGAGGUGUUUGACGAAAUGGCCGGCAGGUAUGUGUCUUCGGUCAUGGCAAUUUUCUUUGCUUUUCGCCAUUUUGCGAUAGCUCGUGACUUGUUGUGCUUCACUAUAGCGGUGGUUCGAACAAUGCAACUGCCGAGUUCGUGAACUUGUUGGACACCAACGCCGUUGACAUUGAUCAAGUCCCGUUUGAAGCAUUCGACUACAAUGAAACCGAGGCCGGCGUGGACAAUCAUGGUUUUCAGGACGAUUUACAGGAGAUCGAAGAGGAAGCAUAUGAGCAAUCGCAAACAAAAAGUGGGAAAAGCCAGAGAUUGAAGAACUACACGAUCUUGGAAGAUCAAGUUCUCAUCAAUGCAUGGAGUGCCGUGUCUCUUGAUGCAUGCACGGGUACUUCUCAAACCGCCAAGAGGUAUUGGCAAAGGAUCAAAGAUCAAUACUUCUGCAUGAUGGCAAAGUACCCCAAUAGGACUCCACACACAUUUCGGUCUCUUCAAGGUCGUUGGGAGAAUAUCAAGCCUAUGUGCAGCUGUUAGGCAGCUUGCUUGGAGAGCAAGUACACAAUGCACCUCCAAGUGGAGCCGUGGAAUCCGACUAUGUGAGUUUGUUUUGCCUUUGUUCAACUUGUGCAUCAUCAUAUUACAUCAUAUGAAAUGAUUGCAUCAUUUCACUUUGUUCACAUUGUGUAGAAAAAAAUGCCCAACAUAGAUACAAAGACAUGGAAGCUUCGGAAGGCAAAUUUUUUAAACUAGAGCAUUGUUGGGAGUUGCUCCAAAUGUGCGAUAAGUGGAAGUUGAUCGAUAAAGAAUCCCCACAGAAGAGAGGCUCACUUACAAACAUGGAUGAUGAUGAGGAUGAUGAUGGCCCAAGAAAUUUGAACAAGCCCGAUGGCGACAAGAAGACUAAGGAGAAGAUGAAGAGAGAGCAUGAAGCAUCGAGCUUGAGGGAGAAGAUUGAUGCCAUGGUGUAAUCAAAUGAGUUGAUGUUGUUGAAGUCAUUGGAGAUCAAGAAAGAGUUGGCCGAGAAGAAGGGAAAGGAGAAGCAAGAAAAGUGGCAAUUGCUCAAGGAAGAGGGGCUGCGCAAAGCGGCCAUUGAGGAUAGAAGAGCACGCGUCGAUGAAAACAAAGCCAUGUCCAAGUUGCUCGCCGAAGAGAACAAGAUCAUGUCAAUGAACCGCAAUGACGUGGACGACCUCACCAAAACAUGGCAUGAUAUGGCAAGGAGAGAAAUCUUGAAGACGAGAAAGGUUUUGUCGGCCGGUGCGUGUUACAGUUCCGGAGAUGUUUUCUCUGCUGGCAAUGUCGAUGAUUUCGGUGCGGGAGUUGGAACAAGCGCCGGAGGUGGAUUCAGUGGUGGUGAUGAACUUCAAGAUGGACUCGAUGGUGGGAGUGAAGAUCGACCAAGAUGAUGCCGGACGUGGUCGUCACUUUUGCAAGACACUCUUUUGCAUUUGUCCUACUAAACUGAGGCUUUUAUUUGCGCGUAAACUGUGUUAUGUUGUUUGAAUUUGAACUUAUUUGUGGGCACCAAUGUCAAAUUUGAGAAUUGGGCAUUUUCUGUUUGCGGGUCGACACGGCGGUGCCUGUGCAGACACCGCAAAAGCCAACUCGUAAAAAAGUAUAUCCUUUUAUAUGGGUCCGUUUGAGGGUCUGCAUCUGCGGCCGUGCGAGUCAGCCCGCAAAAAGCCGUUUUCCACGAACUGCAAAUGCGUUUUGCGGGCCGGCCGAAUGCGGGGCCGGGUAGAGUUGCUUGUCAGUACUUCAUAUGUUCAUAUCCAUAACCAAAAUAAUAGGUGCGGAUAAGCAUGUCUUAAUUAACCACCAUAUAAUGGGAUACUAAUAGGAUCCAGUUUAUCCCCUAUACUUAGCAAAACUAUAAAUUUAUACUAGCGAACUAGAAUAAUAAUAAGCUUCGCGUCCACCCAUUUACCUGUUUUAAUGUUUCAAUAUAUGUUAUUAAUGUUGGGGAACGUAGUGAUUUCAAAAAAUUUCCUACGCACACGCAAGAUCAUGGUGAUGCAUAGCAACGAGAGGGGAGAGUGUUGUCUACGUACCCUCGUAGACCGGAAGCGGAAGCGUUAGCACAACGCGGUUGAUGUAGUCGUAAGUCUUCACGGCCCGACCGAUCAAGCACCGAAACUACGACACCUCCGAGUUCUAGCACACGUUCAGCUCGAUGACGAUCCCCGGACUCCGAUCCAACAGAUUGGGAAGAGUUCCGUCAGCACGAUGGCGUGGUGACGAUCUUGAUGUUCUACCGUCGCAGGGCUUCGCCUAAGCACCGCUACAAUAUUAUCGAGGAUUAUGGUGGAGGAGGGCACCGCACGGCAAAUAGAUCUCAAGGAUCAAUUGUUGUGUCUAUGGGGUGCCCCCCUACACCCGUAUAUAAAGGAGCAAGGGGGGAGGCAGCCGGCCUAGGAGGAGGGCGCGCCAAGGGGGGAGUCCUACUCCCAUCGGGAGUAGGACUCCUCCUUCCCUUGUUGGAGUAGGAGAGAAGUAAAGAGGAGGAGAGGAACAAGGAAAAGGGGGCUGCACCCCUUGUCCAAUUCGGACCAGAGGGGGAGCGCGCGCCUCCUUCCUUUUGGCCUCUCUCCUCUAUUCCCGUAUGGCCCAAUAAGGCCCGGCGAAUUCACGUAACUGUCCAGUACUCCAAAAAAUACCCGAAUCACUCGGAACCUUUCUGAUGUCCGAAUAUAGUCGUCCAAUAUAUCAAUCUUUACGUCUCGACCAUUUCGAGACUCCUCGUCAUAUCCCCGAUCUCAUCCGGGACUCCGAACUCCUUAGGUACAUCAAAACUCAUAAACUCAUAAUAUAAUUGUCAUCGAAACCUUAAGCGUGCGGACCCUACGGGUUCGAGAACAAUGUAGACAUGACUGCGACACGUCUCCGGUCAAUAACCAAUAGCGGAACCUGAAUGCUCAUAUUGGCUCCCACAUAUUCUACGAAGAUCUUUAUCGGUCAAACCACAUAACAACAUACGUUGUUCCCUUUGCCAUCGGUAUGUUACUUGCCCGAGAUUCGAUCGUUGGUAUCUCAAUACCUAGUCCAAUCUUGUUACCGGCAAGUCUCUUUACUCGUUCCAUAACACAUCAUCCCGCAACUAACUCAUUAGUUGCAAUGCUUGCAAGGCUUAUAGUUAUGUGCAUUACCGAGUGGGCCCAGAGAUACCUCUCUGACAAUCGGAGUGACAAAUCCUAAUCUCGAAAUAUGCCAACCCAACAAGUACCUUCGGAGACACCUGUAGAGCACCUUUAUAAUCACCCAGUUACGUUGUGACGUUUGGUAGCACAUAAAGUGUUCCUUCGGUAAACGGGAGUUGCAUAAUCUCAUAGUCAUAGGAACAUGUAUAAGUCAUGAAGAAAGCAAUAGCAACAAACUAAACGAUCAAGUGCUAUGCUAACGAAAUGGGUCAAGUCAAUCACAUCAUUCUCCUAAUGAUGUGAUCCCGUUAAUCAAAUGACAACUCAUGUCUAUGGUUAGGAAACAUAACCAUCUUUGAUCAACAAGCUAGUCAAGUAGAGGCAUACUAGUGACACUCUGUUUGUCUAUGUAUUCACACAUGUAUUAUGUUUCCGGUUAAUACAAUUCUAGCAUGAAUAAUAAACAUUUAUCAUGAUAUAAGGAAAUAAAUAAUAACUUUAUUAUUGCCUCCAGGGCAUAUUUCCUUCAGUCUCCGACUUGCACUAGAGUCAAUAAUCUAGUUCACAUCGCCAUGUGAUUUAACAUCAAUAGUUCACAUCACCAUGUGAUUAACACCCAUAGUUCACAUCGUCAUGUGACCAACACCCAAAGGGUUUACUAGAGUCAAUAAUCUAGUUCACAUUGCUAUGUGAUUAAUACCCAAAGAGUACUAAGGUGUGAUCAUGUUUUGCUUGUGAGGGAAGUUUAGUCAACGGGUCUGCUACAUUCAGAUCCGUAUGUAUUUUGCAAAUUUCUAUGUCAACAAUGCUCUGCACGGAGCUACUCUAGCUAAUUGCUCCCACUUUAAAUAUGUAUCUUGAUUGAGACUUUGAGUCAUGGAUCAGUGUCAAAACUUGCAUCGACGUAACCCUUUACAAUGAACCUUUUGUCACCUCCAUAAUCGAGAAACAUAUCCUUAUUCCACUAAGGAUAAUUUUGACCAAUGUCCAGUGAUCUACUCCUAGAUCACUAUUGUACUCCCUUGCCAAACUCAGGGCAGGGUAUACAAUAGGUCUGGUACACAGCAUGACAUACUUUAUAGAACCUAUGGCUAAGGCAUAGGGAAUGACUUUCAUUCUCUCUCUAUCUUCUUCCGUGGUCGGGUUUUGAGUCUUACUCAACUUCACACCUUCUAACACAGGCAAGAACUCCUUCUUUGACUGUUCCAGUUUGAACUACUUCAAAAUCUUGUCAAGGUAUGUACUUACUGAAAAACUUAUCAAGCGUCUUGAUCUAUCUCUAUAGAUCUUGAUGCUCAAUAUGUAAGAAGCUUCACCGAGGUCUUUAUUUGAAAAACUCCUUUCAAACAUUCCUUUAUGCUUUGCAGAAUAAUUCUACAUUAUCUCCGAUCAAGUAUAUGUCAUUCACAUAUACUUAUCAGAAAUGCUGUAGUGCUCCCACUCACUUUCUUGUAAAUACAGGCUUCACCGCAAGUCUGUAUAAAACUAUAUGCUUUGAUCAACUUAUCAAAGCGUAUAUUCCAACUCCGAGAUGCUUGCACUAGUCCAUAGAUGGAUCACCGGAGCUUGCAUAUUUUGUUAGCACCUUUAGGAUUGACAAAACUUUCUUGUUGCAUCAUAUACAACUCUUCUUUAAUAAAUCCAUUAAGGAAUGUAGUUUUGUUUAUCCAUUUGCCAGAUUUCAUAAAAUGUGGCAAUUGCUAAUAUGAUUUGGAUAGACUUAAGCAUAGAUACGAGUGAGAAACUCUCAUCAUAGUCAACACCUUGAACUUGUCGAAAACCUUUUUGUUGGUGGUAGGUGCGACAUAUGCCAACGGGUGGCUUAUCAUUGUGGGAGCCAGUAGGACGUCGCCGGUGCCUGGAAGCGGGAUGAGGCGAAGACAUGCACGCCGGCGAAUCUUACCCAGCUUCAGGGCUCUCCGUGGAGAUAACACCCCUACUGCUGCUCUGCGGGGUCUCCGCAUGAUCACUAGAUGAACGAGUGGCUACCAGAUGCUCCUUGAGAUGUUUGGCGAGAAGAAGAAGAAGGGCACGGCUAGCUCUCCUCUCCUCUCUAUGUGGUGUCUAAAACUAGCUCAGAUCAACCCUUUGCAUGGGUGCCCCGGGGGGUUUAUAUAGGCCCACCCCCCGGGGGUACAAUGGUAAUCCAGCUGGGCGUGGGCCCUAGCCGUCUGUGUCUACGCUCGCCGGCUUCUGCCCCGGCUGGUGGGGCCCGCCGGCUGGUGGGUCCCGCCGGCUGCCGGCUCCUUGGUCGACAGGCAGGCCCCACCGUCAAGGGCCUUGUCGGUGGCUGAUUACUGUUGCCUCAAACCUGGUGACGAGGGCUUCGCCGAGGUGGGCGUGGCUACAGUGCCGCCGCCCGGCGGGCGAUCGCUGUAGCCUCACCACGUCUUGUCUCCUUAAUGGGGCGUCUCCUCCGAGGGAGGAGGCAAGCCGGCUGUGGGGAGCCGGCCCUGUCUUGGGCCGACUGGGGGAGGCCUGGCCGCCUUUGGGUGUCUCUCUACAUGAAGGGGCCCACUGCCCGUGGGCCGCGCUGACAACCCGUCGUGGGUGGCAUCAGGGUCAACAUGGCAAUAGUGCCGUUCCGGACGGGUCAUGGCCACCCCGUACGGCGCACUGUGCCAGGCGUGCUCCGGGAUUCGGGGGUGGCAGGCUUUACUGUAGCCACGCCCCGCCACAUCGCCGUUAUGUGGAUGUAGACUUCGAGGGUACGAUCUUGACCGCUUUGUGGGAGCCGGCUUCUUGGAGUCGGCCUUCUCGCGGCCGGCUUCUUGGAGCCGGCCCUCCCGCGGCUUUCUUCAUGAGGGCUAAAGCCGGGCCUCCUUCCGAUAGUCGGCCUGGGUGACAGCCAGCAAGGGGAAGGCGGCCCCACGUCUUGGAUUCUUGAGGGCUGGAUCAGCUCGUAAUUUUUUCAGUGGGGCCAGGGGGAGCCGGCUAGGCUACCCGUGGUCGUUUACUCCGACACUUUUGCGACAAUUCUAGCUUUGUAGAUAGUAACAGUACUAUCAGCGUCCGUCUUCCUCUUGAAGAUCCAUUUAAUCUCAAUUGCUUGCCGAUCAACGGGCAAGUCAACCAAAGUCCACACUUUGUUCUCAUACAUGGAUCCCAUCUCAGAUUUCAUGGCCUCAAGCCAUUUCACGGAAUCUGGGCUCAUCAUAGCUUCCUCAUAGUUCGUAGGUUCAUCACGGUCAAGUAACAUGAACUCCAGAGUAGGAUUACCGUACCACUCUGGUGCGGAUCUCACUCUGGUUUACGUACGAGGUUCGGUAGUAACUUGAUCUGAAGUUACAUGAUCAUCAUCAUUAGCUUCCUCACUAAUUGGUGUAGUAGUCAUAGGAACAGAUUUCUGUGAUGAACUACUUUCCAACAAGGGAGCAGGUACAGUUACCUCAUCAAGUUCUACUUUCCUCUCACUCACUUCUUUCGAGAGAAACUCCUUCUCUACAAAAGAUCCAUUCUCAGCAACGAAUAUCUUGCCUUCGGAUCUGUGAUAGAAGGUGGACCCAACAUUUUCUUUUGGGUAUCCUAUGAAGACGCACUUCUCCGAUUUGGGUUUGAGCUUAUCAGGUUGAAACUUUUUCACAUAAGCAUUGCAACCUCAAACUUUAAGAAACGACAGCUUAGGUUUGUUGCCAAACCAUAGUUCAUACGGUGUCGUCUCAACGGAUUUAGAUGGUGCCCUAUUUAACGUGAAUGUAGCUGUCUCUAAUGCAUAACCCCAAAACGAUAGUCGUAAAUUGGUAAGAGACAUCAUAGAUCGCACCAUAUCUAAUAAAGUACGGUUAUGAUGUUCGGACACACCAUUACACUGUGGUGUUCCAAGUGGCGUGAGUAGUGAAACUAUUUCACAUUGUUUUAACUGAAGGCCAAACUCGUAACUCAAAUAUUUUACUUCUGCGAUCAUAUCGUAGAAACUUUUAUUUUUGUUACGAUGAUUCUCCACUUCACUCUGAAAUUCUUUGAACUUUUCAACUAUUUCAGACUUGUGUUUCAUUAAGUAGAUAUACCCAUAUCUGCUCAAAUCAUCUGUGAAGGUCAGAAAAUAACGAUACUUGCCGUGAGCCUUAACACUCAUCGGACCGCAUACAUCAGUAUGUAUUAUUUCUAAUAAGUCAGUUGCUCGAUCCAUUGUUCCGGAGAACGGAGUCUUAGUCAUUUUGCCCAUGAGGCAUGGUUCGCAAGCAUCAAGUGAUUCCAAAAGUCCAUCAACAUGGAGUUUCUUCAUGCGCUUUACACCAAUAUGACCUAAACGGCAGUGCCACAAAUAAGUUACACUAUCAUUAUUAAUUUUGCAUCUUUUGGUUUCAAUAUUAUGAAUAUGUGUAUGACUACGAUCGAGAUCCAACGAACCAUUUUCAUUGGGUGUGUAACCAUAUAAGGUUUUAUUCAUGUAAACAGAACAACAAUUUAUUCUCUUACUUAAAUGAAUAACUGUAUUGCAAUAAACAUGAUCAAAUCAUAUUCAUGCUCAACGCAAACACCAAAUAACACUUAUUUAGGUUCAACACUAAUCCCGAAAGUAUAGGGAGUGUGCGAUGAUGAUCAUAUCAAUCUUGAAACCACUGCCAACACACAUCGUCACUUCACCCUUAACUAGUCUCUGUUCAUUCUGCAACUCCCGUUUCGAGUUACUACUCUUAGCAACUGAACCAGUAUCAAAUGCCGAGGGGUUGCUACGAACACUAGUAAAAUACACAUCAAUAAUAUAUAUAUCAAAUAUAUCUUUGUUCACUUUGCCAUCCUUCUUAUCCGCCAAAUACUUGGGGCAGUUCCGCUUCCAGUGACCAGUCCCUUUGUAGUAGAAGGACUUAGUCUCAGGCUUAGGACCAGACUUGGGCUUCUUCACUUGAGCAGCAACUUGCUUGUCGUUCUUCUUGAAGUUCCCCUUCUUCCCUUUGCCCUUUCUCUUGAAACUAGUGGUCUUGUCAACCAUCAACACUUGAUGUUUUUCUUGAUUUCUACCUUCGCCGAUUUUUGCAUCACGAAGAGCUUGGGAAUCGUUUCUGUUAACCCUUGCAUAUUAUAGUUCAUCACGAAGUUCUACUAACUUGGUGAUGGUGACUAGAGAAUUCUGUCAAUCACUAUUUUAUCUGGAAGAUUAACUCCCACUUGAUUCAAGCGAUUGUAGUACCCAGACAAUCUGAGCACAUGCUCACUGUUUGAGCUAUUCUCCUCCAUCUUUUAGCUAUAGAACUUGUUGGAGACUUCAUAUCUCUCAACUCGGGUAUUUACUUGAAAUAUUAACUUCAACUCUUGGAACAUCUCAUAUGGUCCAUGACAUUCAAAACGUCUUUGAAGUCCCGAUUCUAAGCUGUUAGGCAUGGUGCACUAAACUAUCAAGUAGUCAUCAUAUUGAGCUAGCCAAACGUUCAUAACGUCUACAUCUACUCCUGCAAUAGGUCUGUCACCUAGCGGUGCAUCAAAGACAUAAUUCUUCUGUGCAGCAAUGAGGAUAAUCCUCAGAUCACGGAUCCAAUCCGCAUCAUUGCUACUAACAUUUUUCAACAUAAUUUUUCUCUAGGAACACAAUAAACUGGGAGCAACAUCGCGAGCUAUUGAUCUACAACAUAGAUAUGCUAAUACUACCAGGACUAAGUUCAUGAUAAAUUAAAGUUCAAUUAAUCAUAUUACUUAAGAACUCCCACUUAGACAGACAUCCCUCUAAUAUUCUAAGUGAUCACGUGAUCCAUAUCAACUAAACCAUGUCCGAUCAUCACGUGAGAUGGAGUAGUUUUAAUGGUGAAAAACACUAUGUUGAUCAUAUCUACUAUAUGAUUCACAUUCGACCUUUCGGUCUCCGUGUUCCGAGGCCAUAUCUGUUAUAUGCUAGGCUCGUCAAGUUUAACCUGAAUAUUCCGCGUGUGCAACUGUUUUGCACCCGUUGUAUUUGAAUGUAGAGCCUAUCACACCCGAUCAUCACGUGGUGUCUCAGCACGAAGAACUUUCGCAAUGGUGCAUACUCAGGGAGAACACUUGUACCUUGAUAAUUAGUGAGAGAUCAUCUUAUAAAGCUACCGUCGAACUAAGCAAAAUAAGAUGUAUAAAAGAUAAACAUCAUAUGCAAUCAAAAUAUGUGACAUGAUAUGGCCAUCAUCAUCUUGUGCCUUUGAUCUCCAUCUCCAAAGUAUCAUCAUGAUCUCCAUCGUCACUGGCAUGACACCAUAAUCUCCAUCAUCUUGAUCUAUAUCAAUGUGUCGUCACAUGGUUGUCUCGCCAACAAUUUCUCUUGCAACUAUUGCUAUCGCAUAGCGAUAAAGUAAAGCAAUUAUUUGGUGCUUGCAUCUUAUGCAAUAGAGAGAUAACCAUAAGGCUUUUGCCUGUUGCCGAUAACUUCAACAAAACAUGAUCAUCUCAUACAACAACUUAUAUCUCAUCACGUCUUGACCAUAUCACAUCACAACAUGCCCUGCAAAAACAAGUUAGACGUCCUCUACUUUGUUGUUGCAAGUUUUACGUGGCUGCUACGGGCUUAGCAAGAACCGUUCUUACCUACGCAUCAAAACCACAACGAUAGUUUGUCAAGUUGGUGCCGUUUUAACCUUCGCAAGGACCGGGUGUAGCCACACUUGGUUCAACUAAAGUUGGAGAAACUGACACCCGCCAGCCACAUGUGUGUAAAGCACGUCGGUAGAACCAGUCUCGCGUAAGCAUACGCGUAAUGUCGGUCCGGGCCGCUUCAUCCAACAAUACCACCGAACCAAAAUGUGACAUGCUGGUAAGCAGUAUGACUUAUAUCGCCCACAACUCACUUGUGUUCUACUCGUGCACAACAUCAACACAUAAAACCUAGGCUCUGAUACCACUGUUGGGGAACGUAGUAAUUUCAAAAAAUUUCCUACGCACAUGCAAGAUCAUGGUGAUGCAUAGCAACGAGAGGGGAGAGUGUUGUCUACGUACCCUCGUAGACCGGAAGCGGAAGCGUUAGCACAACGCGGUUGAAGUAGUCGUAAGUCUUCACGGCCCGACCGAUCAAGCACCGAAACUACGAUACCUCCGAGUUCUAACACACGUUCAGCUCGAUGACGAUCCCCGGACUACGAUCCAGUAGAAUGUCGGGGAAGAUUUCCGUCAGCACGACGGCGUGGUGACGAUCUUGAUGUUCUACCGUCGCAGGGCUUCGCCUAAGCAACGCUACAAUAUUAUCGAGGAUUAUGGUGGAGGAGGGCACCACACACGGCUAAUAGAUCUCAAGGAUCAAUUAUUGUGUCUAUGGGGUGCCCCCUGCCCCCGUAUAUAAAGGAGCAAGGGGGGAGCGGCCGGUCUAGGAGGAGGGCGCGCCAAGGGGGGAGUCCUACUCCCACCGGGAGUAGGACUCCUCCUUCCCUUGUUGGAGUAGGAGAGAAGGAAAGAGGGGGAGAGGAACAAGGAAAAGGGGGCUGCACCCCUUGUCCAAUUCGGACCAGAGGGGGGCGCGCACCUCCUUCCUUUUGGCUUCUCUCCUCUAUUCCCGUAUGGCCCAAUAAGGCCCAUAUACUCCGCGGCGAAUUCCCGUAACUCUCCGGUACUCCAAAAAAUACCUGAAUCACUCGGAACCUUUCCGAUGUCCGAAUAUAGUCGUCCAAUAUAUUGAUCUUUACGUCUCGACCAUUUCGAGACUCCUCUUCAUGUCCCCGAUCUCAUCCGGGACUCCGAACUCCUUAGGUACAUCAAAAUUCAUAAACUCAUAAUAAAACUGUCAUCGAAACCUUAAGCGUGCGGACCCUACAGGUUCGAGAACAAUGUAGACAUGACCGAGACACGUCUCCAGUCAAUAACCAAUAGCGGAACCUGGAUGCUCAUAUUGGCUCCCACAUAUUCUACGAAGAUCUUUAUCGGUCAAACCGCAUAACAACAUACGUUGUUCCCUUUGCCAUCGGUAUGUUACUUGCCCGAGAUUCGAUCGUUGGUAUCUCAAUACCUAGUUCAAUCUCGUUACCGGCAAGUAUCUUUACUCGUUCCAUAACACAUCAUCCCGCAACUAACUCAUUAGUUGCAAUGCUUGCAAGGCUUAUAGUGAUGUGCAUUACCGAGUGGGCCCAGAGAUACCUCUCCGACAAUCGGAGUGACAAAUCCUAAUCUCGAAAUACGCCAACCCAACAAGUACCUUUGGAGACACCUGUAGAGCACCUUUAUAAUCACCCAGUUACGUUGUGACGUUUGGUAGCACACAAAGUGUUCCUCCGGUAAACGGGAGUUGCAUAAUCUCAUAGUCAUAGGAACAUGUAUAAGUCAUGAAGAAAGCAAUAGCAACAAACUAAACGAUCAAGUGCUAUGCUAACGGAAUGGGUCAAGUCAAUCAUAUCAUUCUCCUAAUGAUGUGAUCCCGUUAAUCAAAUGACAACUCAUGUCUAUGGUUAGGAAACAUAACCAUCUUUGAUCAACGAGCUAGUCAAGUAGAGGCAUACUAGUGACACUCUAUUUGUCUAUGUAUACACACAUGUAUUAUCUUUCCGGUUAAUACAAUUCUAGCAUGAAUAAUAAACAUUUAUCAUGAUAUAAGGAAAUAAAUAAUAACUUUAUUAUAGCCUCUAGGGCAUAUUUCCUUCAAUUAAUUGAUUCCACUGCUGAUGGUCGGCAACCCAUCUGCUGGGAACUGAUCAUAAUCGUACAUCAGUUUCUAAGAGAGCAUUCAUGGCGAUUGUUGUGCCCAUCGUUUCCGCUGUCCAGUGGUACUUCUAUAUUGUUCCUCCCAUAACAAUCCUCGGUCACCCUCUCUUCUCAGACAGCACAAGCAUCUUUCAUCAUCAUGCUCUGGUAUUACUUAUGCAUGAUUCCUUAAGAUUCGUCAUUGAUGUUUACAAUCGUUCAUUAUUUUAGUUGUUCUUUCAGAUUCGUCAUUGUGCCCUACAUGAGUCUCUGUCAAAAUUUGCAUGUGUUAACUCUGUAAGUAUGUAUGUAUGCAAUUUGAUAUUUUAUAAUACUAACAUUUGUCCACUUUGUCCUAAAGUAGUUUUUGCUGCUUGGAGGUGAGCAGAGCGAAGGUAUCCCAUUAUCAUGAUUCAGAGGACUCAUGUUAUUCUCUUUAUUGUCAAUGCAACCGAUUCCGGUUUAUAUCUCUUCUUGGAAUAAAAAAAUGCAUAUAUGAACCUGACUGCUUACGUAGCUAUGUUCAAUCAACACAUCAGAAUGUUUUUGUGGGGCUACAGACAUCCCCGUUCUACGACAGGUGAUACAUAGGGAAUUAGGAUUUUAGAAAAUUUGCAUACAUAAAUCUUCGGAAGUAAAACAUGUAAAUGUGGACAAGUAUGAAAGCAAUACAAAAGGCAACAUUUUUAUUUUCAAGUUAUAAAGUGGAAUCCAUAGAUUACACAGGAAUGUUAUCUCCUAAAAGUGAAUAAUAACAAGACAUCCGUUCAUUCAAAUUGGUGAAUAUUUCUCAAGAUGGGUAAGAUUCACUUUCUCAGAUAGAGUGCAGUAUUGUGACGGUCCCUUUGACUACAUACAUGUUUGUCUCUCUGUUGUGAACUUGCAAGACCUGGAAGAACCAGCCUAUUUGUUUAAAUUUCGAAAUCUUGGUGAUGUUGUUUUUCCCUCUUUGCGCAUACUUCUCCUAAUGUUUUGGCGACAAACACUUCAUUGCUAAUUUGCCUUUCAAUGACUAUCUCCUUUUUGGCUGAUAGUCUCCUUAAACCUUUAAAUCAGUUUUUUUAACUGGUGCUCAAUAUAAUGGAUUAUAAUGGUCAGCUGCUUAAUAUAAGAGCUUGGUAACUUGACUUUAGGAAUUUAUCGUCCCUUUUUUGAAAUAUUUUCUGUAAAUUCUGAGCUCAAUAUAAUGAAUACAAUUUUGCAAACAGAUUAUUUAUGUAUGUUUCUUAGAAAACAUUGCUCCUUGAAUAAUAACCCAUGAUACUUAGACAAGCUAUAUGUCAUUUUUACCAGCUCAGUUUGGUGGUGGUUUAUAUUGAGGAUUUGAUCAUUGCUCAUGCACGCUAAAUGAUUUAUCUGACAUGCAGUUUUGUUCAGGUACAUUUCAUUCUUUUGUACAUUAAAUACUAUUGUUGGUAUAUUUGAUAGCUAGAUUGUGCACAUAAGUGCAGAGGCCAUUAGUUAUGUUGUUCAAGCUAUGUUGGUAUCUGUUUGAAGAUUAAUUCCAGUCGGAUAUGUUCCAUUGUCAUCUGACAUUUAAUAGUAAAAUAUACUAUUGAAAAUUAGUAAAAUAUACAUUGAACAGUUCAAAUAAAGAAAUGUCAUGUCAGAUAAGUUAAGCUGACUACAUAUUUGUCAAUGGCUUUCUCAAAUGUAGGUUUCAAAUCAAAUGUCAUUCAGAACUCAUCCUUGAAUUACUUUUAUACUUGAAUAACCAGACUACAUCAUGGAUUUGUCGUCUUUGAAGUUUGAUGAAAUAAGGCCCAUGGUUGUUUGCUUUCCACUCUUAAAUUGCCUUUAGUUUGAAAUAAGGCCCAUGAUUGUUUGCUUUCCACUCUUAAAUUGCCUUUUUGACAGCAACAAAAAACUAUACUAACACUAGUAGAAAACAGGGCUAUGGUCCAGGCCGGCUCAGCCCAUUAGUCCCGGUUCAGUGUAGAACCGGGACCAAUAUGGGCAUUGGUCCCGGUUCGUGAGCCCAGGGGGCCGGUCGGGCCACGUGGGCCAUUGGUCCCGGUUCGUCAAUGGGCCUCGCUCCUGGCCCACCACCAUUGGUCCCGGUUCAUGCCACCAACCGGGACCAAUGAGGUGCCUAUAUAUACCCCCUCGCAUAAGAGCAGAGCACACUGCUCUGUUUUUUCUGGCCGAGGGGGAGAGGGCUUGGUGGUGCUCUAGCUCACCUCCUAUGCACACAAGGUGUUCGAUGGAAUGCCCAAGCCACAUUACUUAAGCUUUCUCCUCUCGAAGCUCGACCUCCAAGCUCCAUUUUCCUCGAGAUUUGUCUAGAUUUAGCGGUCCGUCACGCCCCGUCCGCGUCUUCACCGCCGUCGAUCACCCGCGCCGAUCUCAUCACCGACACCACCGUGGUGAGCCUCUUGUUCUUAUCUUCUUUCUGAAAGGAAAAAUAUUCUUACUUGUAUGUUUAGAUAGAUACUUGUAUCAUUUUUUUACAUUUAUUAUUGCAUCUUAUAUAGUGCGAUGGUUUUGGUAUCCGCCCCCGUCGGCCCUCAUCCUGUCUAUGAUUCGGAUUUGGUAUGUAUAUUAUCUUUAUAACUAUUGGUUCAUUUAUUGUUUAUGAAAAUUAUGCCGACCAACAUGACAUAGAUUUUAUUUAUCUAGGAUGUAUGUGAAUCGGAAAUGCCAACCGACCCUAUUGUCGAGAGGUUAAAUUUAGUUGAAGAAGAAAACAAUUUGUUGAAGGAAAAAAACUUGAGGAGGAGAAGAUGAUAUUGGAGUUGCAUGUUGCGGAUGUCGUCGAUGAUCACAAGAUCAAGAUGGAUGCAAUGCGCUUGAAGAUUAGAAAGAUUAGAAAAUAUGCCAUUCAUACCGAGGCUUGGUAUCAUUAUGCCAUUGGAUCAAUUGUUACCUUGGUUGCGAUUAUGAUCGCAUUUGUUUUCGCAUUGAAAUGUUUUACAUAGUUUCAAUGUAUGGUUUAAUUAAUUAGAUGCUCUGGAGAGCUAUAUGUUGUUAGAUGGGAACUAUGUAUGCACUUUGGUUUUAACGUGAUGAUGAACUUCUAUUAAUUUGGACACUUAAUUAUAUAUAAUGCACGCAGAUGAACCGACAAUGGAUGUACGGUGACAGACACACCCGCGAGUACAUUAAGGGCGUGCAUGAGUUUCUCGAUGCGGCUGAGGCAAACAAGCAGAAUGGUUUUAUGUGUUGUCCAUGCACUAAAUGUGGGAAUACGAGGUCUUACUCUAACCGGAAAAUCCUUCACUCCCACCUGCUUUACAAGGGUUUCAUGCCACACUAUAAUGUUUGGACGAGGCACGGAGAAAUAGGGGUUAUGAUGGAAGACGGCGAAGAAGAAGAGUACGAUGACAACUAUGUGCCCCCUGAAUACGGUGAUGCUACAACGGGGGGAGCUGGUGAACAUCAAGAGGAACCAGACGAUGUGCCCAAUGAUGCUGCCACGGGUGAAGCUGCUGAAGAUCAAGAGGAACCAGACGAUGUGCCCGAUGAUUAUGAUCUCCGCCGGGUCAUUGUCGAUGCAAGGACGCAAUGCAUUAGUCAAAAGGAGAAGCUGAAGUUCGAUCGCAUGUUAGAGGAUCACAAAAAAGGGUUAUACCCCAAUUGCGAAGAUGGCAACACAAAGCUCGGUACCGUACUGGAAUUGCUGCAGUGGAAGGCAGAGAAUGCUGUGGCUGACAAAGGAUUUGAGAAGCUACUGAAAAUAUUGAAGAAGAAGCUUCCAAAGGAUAACGAAUUGCCCGACAGUACAUACGCAGCAAAGAAGGUCGUAUGCCCUCUAGGAUUGGAGGUGGAGAAGAUACAUGCAUGCCCUAAUGACUGCAUCCUCUACCGCGGUGCAUACAAGGAUCCGAACGCAUGCCCGGUAUACGGUGCGUUGCGGUAUAAGAUCAGACGAGAUGACCCUGGUGAUGUUGAUGGUGAGCCCCUCAGGAAGAGGGUUCCUGCGAAGGUGAUGUGGUAUGCUCCUAUAAUACCACGGUUGAAACGUCUGUUCAGAAACGAAGAGCAUGCCAAGUUGAUGCGAUGGCACAGUGAGAAUCGAAAGAAAGAUGGGAAGUUGAGAGCACCCGCUGACGGGUCGCAGUGGAGAAAAAUCAAGAGAAAGUAUCGGGAUGAGUUUGCGAGGGACCCAAGGAAUGUAUGGUUUGCUUUAAGCACGGAUGGCAUUAAUCCUUUCGGGGAGCAGAGUAGCAAUCACAGCACCUGGCCCGUGACUCUAUGUAUGUAUAACCUUCCUCCUUGGAUGUGCAUGAAGCGGAAGUUCAUUAUGAUGCCAGUUCUCAUCCAAGGCCGUAAGCAACCCGACAACGAAAUUGAUGUGUACCUAAGGCCAUUAGUUGAAGAACUUUUACAGUUGUAGAAUGGAAACGGUGUACGUACGUGGGAUGAGCACAGACAGGAGGAAUUUAACCUUAAGGCGUUGCUGUUCGUGACCAUCAACGAUUGGCCCGCUCUCAGUAACCUUUCAGUACAGACAAACAAAGGAUUCCACGCAUGCACGCACUAUUUAGAUGAUACUGAAAGUAUAUACCUAGACAAAUGCAGGAAGAAUAUGUACCUGGGCCAUCGUCGAUUUCUUCCGACCAACCAUCAAUGUCGAAAGAAAGGCAAGCAUUUCAAAGGCGAGGCAGAUCACCGGAAGAAGCCCGCCAUGCGCACCGGUGAUCACGUGCUUGCUAUGGUCAAUGAUUUACACUACGUAAUCUUCGGAAAGGGUCCCGGUGGACUAGCUGUUCCGAAGGACGCUAAGGGACAUGCACCCAUGUGGAAGAAGAAAUCUAUAUUUUGGGACCUACCCUACUGGAAAGACCUAGAGGUCCGCUCCUCAAUCAACGUGAUGCACGUGACGAAGAACCUUUGCGUGAACCUGCUAGGCUUCUUGGGCGUGUAUGGGAAGACAAAAGAUACACCUGAGGCACGAGAGGACCUGCAACGUUUGCACGAAAAAGACGGCAUGCCUCCGACGCAGUAUAAAGGUCCUGCCAGCUACGCUCUUACGAAAGAAGAGAAAGAAAUCUUCUUUGAAUGCCUGCUCAGUAUGAAGGUCACGACUGGCUUCUCGUCGAAUAUAAAGGGAAUAAUAAAUAUGCCAGAGAAAAAGUUUCAGAACCUAAAGUCUCAUGACUGCCACGUGAUUAUGACGCCACUGCUUCCGGUUGCAUUGAGGGGGCUUCUACCGGAAAACGUCCGAUUAGCCAUUGUGAAGCUAUGUGCAUUCGUCAAUGCAAUCUCUCAGAAGGUGAUCGAUCCAGAAAUCGUACCAAGGCUAAGGAGUGAUGUGGCGCAUUGUCUUGUCAGUUUCGAGCUGGUGUUCCCACCAUCCUUCUUCAAUAUCAUGACGCACGUCCUAGUUCAUCUAGUCGACGAGAUUGUCAUCCUGGGGCCCGUAUUUCUACACAAUAUGUUCCCCUUUGAGAGGUUCAUGGGAGUCCUAAAGAAAUAUGUCCGUAACCGCGCUAGGCCAGAAGGAAGCAUCUCCAUGGGCCAUCAAACAGAGGAUGUUAUCGGGUUUUGUGUUGACAUCAUUCCUGGCCUUAACAAGAUAGGUCUCCCUAAGUCGCGGUAUGAGGGGAGACUGACUGGAAAAGGCACUCUUGGAAGAGACUCAAUAAUAUGCAGGGACGGAUAUUCUUGGUCUCAAGCACACUACACAGUUCUACAGAACUCUACGUUGGUGACCCCGUAUGUCGAUGAACACAAGAAUAGUUUGCGCUCCAAACACCCGGAGCAGUGGGACGACUGGAUUACAUGUGAACACAUCAGGACUUUCAGCAGUUGGUUGGAAACACGUCUCAGAGGUGACAACACUGUUUGUGAUGAGUUGUACUUGUUGUCCAGGGGACCAUCUUUGACUAUAUUGACUUACAAAGGAUACGAGAUAAAUGGGAAUACAUUUUACAUGAUCGCCCAAGAUCAAAAGAGCACCAACCAAAAUAGCGGUGUCCGCUUUGAUGCAGCAACCAAGAGCGGAAAGGACACAUAUUAUGGUUACAUAGUGGACAUGUAUGGGAACUUGACUAUGGACCUGAUUUUAAGGUCCCUUUGUUUAAGUGCAAAUGGGUCAAUCUGUUAGGUGGCGGGGUACAGGUAGACCCAUAGUACGGAAUGACAAUAGUGGAUCUGAAAAAUCUUGGGUACACUGACGAACCGUUCGUCCUAGCCAAUGAUGUGGCACAGGUUAUCUAUGUGAAGGACAUGUCUACCAAACCGAGAAAAAGAAAAGAUAAGGAAGCGAAUACAUCAUACGAUGAGCCAAAGCGCCACAUAGUUCUUUCAGGAAAAGGGACAUCCUGGGAGUGGACGGCAAGAUAGACAUGUCUGAAGAUUAUGAAAAGUUUCAUGAAAUUCCUCCCUUCAAUGUCAAGGCUGACCCAAGCAUCCUGAUAAACAAUGAAGAUUAUCCAUGGUUACGACGCAAUAAGCAAAUGACACAAGCAAGGAAAAAGUGAAUACUUUCUCCCACAACUAUUAUGAUGAUACCAUGCCAAAUUUGUAACAGACGGACAUCCUACCAUUGUCCGUUUUGUACAUGCACAUGCUAUGUGGGUGAAAUUAUGAUACCAUCCCAACUUUCAACUUUUUCAGAGUUCAUUUGAAAUGCUUUCAUGUCUUAUGGUUUGAAACUUUGAUACUUCGAAAGUGAUUGUCCAUUUUGUACACGAAGUGCAUCAAGUUUUUGUCGUAACCCUCUCUACUUUUUGGAACAUGCUAUGUGGGUGAAAUGAUUAUACCAUGCCAACUUUCAACCUUUUCAGAGUUCAUUUUGAAAUGCUUUCCAAUUUCAGAGUCAUUUAGCUCAAAGAAUGAAUUAAUAGCAAACAGAAUAAACUACAAAACUUUUAUGAAAAUAAAAACAAUUAAUUAAAAUAUUAUGUUAUGAUCAACUAAAAUAAAACUAUAAUAUUCUUCAAUAGCAAAAAGAAUAUAAUUUUUGUGACCUAAAAUCAAACUAUAAGUAUUUAAUUGUAAGUAUAAAUAAAAAAUAAAUAGCAAAGAAGAAAAAAUUUCUAAUUUUAUAGUAAAGUUAUUCAUAAACUACUGAUUCACACAAAUUUUUAAAAAUUUAAAUUUAAACUAUUUAAAAUUUAAAACUAAUGGCACUAACAGAAAGUUUAUAAUUUUUGUGACCUAAAAGCAAAAAGAAAUCACUAAAAAACUGUAAGUAUUUAGUUGUAAGUNNNNNNNNNNNNNNNNNNNNNNNNNNNNNNNNNNNNNNNNNNNNNNNNNNNNNNNNNNNNNNNNNNNNNNNNNNNNNNNNNNNNNNNNNNNNNNNNNNNNNNNNNNNNNNNNNNNNNNNNNNNNNNNNNNNNNNNNNNNNNNNNNNNNNNNNNNNNNNNNNNNNNNNNNNNNNNNNNNNNNNNNNNNNNNNNNNNNNNNNNNNNNNNNNNNNNNNNNNNNNNNNNNNNNNNNNNNNNNNNNNNNNNNNNNNNNNNNNNNNNNNNNNNNNNNNNNNNNNNNNNNNNNNNNNNNNNNNNNNNNNNNNNNNNNNNNNNNNNNNNNNNNNNNNNNNNNNNNNNNNNNNNNNNNNNNNNNNNNNNNNNNNNNNNNNNNNNNNNNNNNNNNNNNNNNNNNNNNNNNNNNNNNNNNNNNNNNNNNNNNNNNNNNNNNNNNNNNNNNNNNNNNNNNNNNNNNNNNNNNNNNNNNNNNNNNNNNNNNNNNNNNNNNNNNNNNNNNNNNNNNNNNNNNNNNNNNNNNNNNNNNNNNNNNNNNNNNNNNNNNNNNNNNNNNNNNNNNNNNNNNNNNNNNNNNNNNNNNNNNNNNNNNNNNNNNNNNNNNNNNNNNNNNNNNNNNNNNNNNNNNNNNNNNNNNNNNNNNNNNNNNNNNNNNNNNNNNNNNNNNNNNNNNNNNNNNNNNNNNNNNNNNNNNNNNNNNNNNNNNNNNNNNNNNNNNNNNNNNNNNNNNNNNNNNNNNNNNNNNNNNNNNNNNNNNNNNNNNNNNNNNNNNNNNNNNNNNNNNNNNNNNNNNNNNNNNNNNNNNNNNNNNNNNNNNNNNNNNNNNNNNNNNNNNNNNNNNNNNNNNNNNNNNNNNNNNNNNNNNNNNNNNNNNNNNNNNNNNNNNNNNNNNNNNNNNNNNNNNNNNNNNNNNNNNNNNNNNNNNNNNNNNNNNNNNNNNNNNNNNNNNNNNNNNNNNNNNNNNNNNNNNNNNNNNNNNNNNNNNNNNNNGCCGUCGCCUCGAGCUCCCCUGCUACGGGCUUGCCGUCGCCGCCCCGUGCUCGCCGUCGCCCAGCCCCUGCCCCGUCCCGCCCCUGCGAGCCGGCGCCCUCGCCUGCCCCCGCGCUGUGAGCCGCCGCCCGGCUCUGUUUUUUUUAUUACUUUAAUUUUUUUGUUCAUAUGUGAUGUAUAUGUGUAUGUGGCUAUAAUGUAUAUGUGUAUGUGAACAAUGCAAAAGAUUGUUUUUUAGAAAAAUUAGGAUUUUUUUCUGUUCAUAGAUUUUUUUGGUGAUAUUAAUUAUUGUAAAUAUGCAAAUGUUUGUAUAUUCAUAUGAACAAUGAAUUAGGCAAUACUACUUCUUGUAUUUUUAAGAAGGAAGAAGAAGAAAAAGAAUGAGAGGAAAAAGGAAAUAAGAAGAGGAAGAAAGGAGAAGAAGAGGGGAGAGGAAGAAGAGGAGAAAUAAAUGAGAGGACCCUGGAGGAGAACGCCGAGAUCGCGCGAGAAGAAGUGAGGAACUUCUUUGAAGGGGUGAAAGCAAAGAAACAUCCACCUCCGGAGGAGAAGGUAGAUCGGGUGAAAGUGAAGCGCACUCUGGCUGCCCUGACAAAACCACCGAAGUCUGAUCCGCCGAAAGGAAACUAUAACCGCAUUAUUGGAAAGGAAUUUGCCGAAGCGGAGCGGUCGGAAAGUACUGUCAGUGAUCAAAGGCUGAAAGAACAACGAGCUGGGAAACAAAUUGCCCAGCUCGGCGAACAAGCGAAGCAAUCGUGCCCCCCGCUCAAGGUGCCUAGCCACAAUGUCGAUAAUGAUCCGAGGAUGGUGCCCGGUUAUAGCAAUCUUGCAGAUUACCUGCCCGACAAAGUACAUUAUGAACCCAUGGAGGUGCAGAUACAAAGAUACGAGUACGGGAAGCCUCUCGUCAAAGAUGAAAGAUCUCUAUUAACGAUGAUGCGAAGAUUGCAUGAUUGGUACUUGAAAAUCUGCAGAGACUCUGGGGGGAGGAGUACUUUGUAUGUGAAAGUUAAAAAGGAGCAUGACCUCGUUGGAAUUGAUCUGUUGCCUGUUCCAUUUGAGGAGUUCUAUCAGUUUUUCAAUCAAUUGGCCCUCGAUAAAACAACGGUCGCCUGCUACUGUCUGUAAGUAGUACUACUUCUAUCAUUAAGAUUCUCUAUAUAGCUUAGCUCUUUCAUUGCAUGUAUUUAUAGUCAUCCUCACUAUAUUAUGCAGAUUGAAGAUCGCCGAAUUGAAGAAAAGACAAGUCGGUGAUACUGGGUUCAUUAACACACAUCUCAUAGAUGCAACUCAGGUUAAACUUCAUGCCGCAGCUACCGAGGCCAACUUGCUACGAUCGUUCGUAAUAAAUCAAAACAAAGAUAUAAUACUCUUUCCUUGCAACUUCAGGUGAGUGUUACUGUCUUGCGUAUUCAGUUUCCCUUAUAUAUUAGUCAAGGUUAUAGUAAUGUAAUUCAUGAGUUAUGCAUGUGUGUGCAGUUUCCACUAUAUUCUCCUAGAGAUUAAGCUUGAGCAGGGAGUAGUAACCGUCUUGGACUCUAAACGAAAAGAUCCCAAGGAGUAUGCGGACAUGACUGAAAUCCUCAAGAAGUAAGUUAAAUCGAUCAUUAUCCACCAUAUCAGCAACUUUGUUCAUUUCCUGAUAUCAAGUAAUUGUUUUCUUUGUCCGGCAGGGUUUGGAGAAAAUUCACCAAAACAGUUCCGGGACUGCCGAAGGAGCUGGAAUUUAGACACCCGAAAGUAAGUACUAUAGUAGCAUGUUCCGCGCAUCUCCUAGUGAUUCAAGCGCUAGUUUCAUCAAUACCAUUUAGCAUUCUUGCUUAUCAGUUUGAUCGACCUCUAUUUCUUGUAAAGUGGUUGUGGCAGGAACAAGGGAAUGAUUUCUGUGGAUACUACAUCUGCGAGUCCAUCCGCCACACGACCUGUGAGCGGGGCGGGUACUCUAACGAACAAUAUGAAGUACGUAAAUAACAACAUUCACAAUUUUAUUUUAUUACCAUCAUUUGUGUUGAGUUUCAUUCAUUUAUAUAUAUAUAUAUAUAUAUAUAUAUAUAUAUAUAUAUGUAUGUAUGUAUGUAUUGACCCCCUUCUUCAAAUUAGAUGUUUCGGAAGCAGGAUGAACUCCUAGCACCAGCUCGCAUGCGAGCAAUUCAAGAGGAAUUGGCGGCAUUCUUUCUUGACCACGUGAUCCCUGAAGACGGAGAAUUCUAUGUGGACCCUGAGUCCGUAUGAUUAUAGUUGUAAGAGAUAAUUAUUGUAUAUAUGUAGCCGGUAGUGUCAGAUAGAUAUACGAGAACUUGUUGUUCGACCAAUCUCUCAGAGAAGGAGAGGUGGUCGAUAUCACUUCUCUCUGUAUGCAUAUAUGUUCAUGACGAUCUUCUGUUUCCUUCGUUUGCUUACUAGCUAGCUAGCGUGUCUAGUCCUCUCUAUACGUAUGUAUAGUACGUAGCGUCGACCAAGCACGGACAUAAGAGAGGACACUUCUCUCUAUUAAUUAUANNNNNNNNNNNNNNNNNNNNNNNNNNNNNNNNNNNNNNNNNNNNNNNNNNNNNNNNNNNNNNAAAACAAAAAACAUCAGCCACAGAAGUGCUGACGCGUGGAUGCCUAUUGGUCCCGGUUGGUGCCACCAACCGGGACCAAAGGGUCUCCUGACUGGGCUCUGCGCACUGCCCACGUGGAGGGCCUUUAGUCCCGGUUCUGGAUUGAACCGGGACUAAAGGGGGGAGGUAUUAGUACUGACACUUUAGUCCCGGUUUCGGAACCGGGACUAAAGGCCCUUACGAACCGGGACUAUAGGCCCUUUUUCUACCAGUGUAAUAGGAGUUUUGAUUUCCAUUCUUCCUGUACUUUUUCUAUAUCACAAAGAAUUGUUCAUGCCUUAUCUUUCCAUUUCAUGUUGACAUUUCAACUUGACCAUUACGAGAGCAUCAUGAUUUUAUUUAUGAUUAUUGUUGUUGUAGAGGUGUUAAAUAUAUAAAGUAUGAAAGGUGUAAUUUCAUGAAAGUACUUAGUAAUAUCAGCUUCCUUUGCCUGAUUGAUGUUGCUUUACAGUCUUAUUUGUCGGCGUUUUGUUCGGCAAGUUAAUGCUUUUUCCAUGCUGUGAGGUCAUAUAUGUUGCAGGCACAGAGCAGCAAAGAUUUUUCCAUAGACACAAAAGCAGUGCUCCGGCUGUAGCAUUAAUUACACACACUCGUAUUUCCUAGGCCGCUAUAUAAAUAUGCACAAAAGGAUUGCUAUAUCAAAUACACGUUUAUGAUCAGUGCGUAUUUUCUUCCUCCUGACAAUGCUUACCCUGCUUACAGUUAUCUACAUGGGUCUGGUUCCUUUUAAUAUCAAUAUUUGUCAUCAGAUUCUGAUAUACAUUGUUUCAGUCCAAAAUAUACAGGGUGCACAUUUUCUACAUUUAAUUUCCAGUAAGACUUUCUUUUCUUGGUGGUAUGAUCACUUACCAGUAAUUUGAUGGUUAUCUAUCUAUCUAUAUAUAUAUAUAUAUAUAUAUAUAUAUAUAUAUAUAUAUUGAAUUUUCAUAGCAUUUUAACCUCCGAUAUCAACAUAUUUUCAUAAUAUAAAUUGUUUAAUUUCAUUUCCAAUGUAUUUUACUCAUAUAUUUUUAUUAUUUCAUAAUAUGAAUGGUAUGACAAAUAUAUGAUUUAGUCGUUUGCAAAAAAAAUUCUUGACUCGUGUAUUUUUCAAAAUUCCUUCCAUUCUUUUAAAAAUAGACGGGCGCGGCAAGACGCGCCAUGAAUGAUCUAGUCAUAAGUGAUGUCCCGACCAGAUUCUUUCAAUGUCAAUGACUUUACUUUUUGGCAAGAUACUUUGGAGGUACGUAAAGCUAUAGAUCAGCGAUGGAUCAACGUUGAGGUCAGGUGAAGAGGCGAUCUGUCCACUUCUUCUAGGGUGGCCGUUACGGUGGUGCCGGAGUUGAGUGACGGACAUUGGUAUCUUGCUCAAGGCUUUCUUCAGCCAAUAUUGUAAUUUUCUUUCUCGACUAGCUAAGGGUUGUUUUUGCAAUAGCUAGGGUUGUCCUAUAUUUUUUGGUUCUGUCAAGUCGGUCUUUAAGUGAUUCGUAAUUUGAUAUUUAUUUUAUAAUUGAGACACACAUUACAUCAUGAAAGAAAAAAAUCAAGGCUACAUAUCAACAUGACCUCGUGUGUCCCGCAUGACCGCCUAGGACCUGUGUAGUGCGUACGCCGGAUCGUAGGCUCAUACACGAUAUUAGAGUAACUCUAGCAGACCCCGCAUCCCGCCUCGAUCCGCAAAAUAACUGCCAAAGUGCGGGUCGGGGCGCGAAAAACGUCCCGAUCAGACCCCGCAUCAAGCCCCGGCCCGCAAAUUUUUUUGCGGGGCACGGCAAAACAUCUCCCCCAACCUCUAGAUUCACGGGCUAGAGGGACGACCCGAGCUCAGCCCCCAUCCGCAACGAGAUUUGGUGGGAGGGACAUUUCCGCGUGGCCGUUCCCGCUCCCCCCGCCCUCCGCCACCAUUGCCUCGCCACCGUACGCUCCCCAGCCGUCCUUUACCAUCAUGGAUGACUCCGUGCUAUCCCCCGUCACCGUCGAGGUCGCUGGCGCUCCUUCUCCUCGGGCGGAUCUGGUCGCCGGCCCUAUUGGCCCCGCUGUGGGCCAAGGUCAAUCNNNNNNNNNNNNNNNNNNNNNNNNNNNNNNNNNNNNNNNNNNNNNNNNNNNNNNNNNNNNNNNNNNNNNNNNNNNNNNNNNNNNNNNNNNNNNNNNNNNNNNNNNNNNNNNNNNNNNNNNNNNNNNNNNNNNNNNNNNNNNNNNNNNNNNNNNNNNNNNNNGCUGUUGCGCGAUCUCGGCCGGCGGCGGAGAAGCUCGCGAAGGUCGCCGGCGUCAAGAGCAAGAAGAUUCUGGCCACAAAGAAGCCGCCUCCUUCAUCCGCUCACUCCGUCCUGGAGAGAGGUGCCCCGGGGAUGCCGCUCAACGGUGCCGCUCCCCCCACAAGCGAGGUGUUUGACGAAAUUGUGACACUCCAAAAUUUUAAUUUGGUUUUUAUCAGAAAACUUUGUGGUUUUUGAAAAGAGGACAUUUAAAUUUUUUCAGAAAACCUUCCUCUUAAAAACUUCCUUUGCUUUGGCAAGGAUUUUAUUUUUUUUCAAACUUUGGUGUUUGACCUUUUGAAACUUCUUCUCUGUUGGUUCCCUCUCAAAUUCAUUUUGGGAGUUUAAUCUUUUUCUUUUAAAAUGAAACUCUAUGAAAAACUUGGGAUUUUCAUAUCUUGAAAACCACCCAUGACUUUGCAUUUUUGCCCAUGUGAUAAAACCCCUCCAAAACCUCCCCUACUCCUUGUGAUCAACCUAAGUUCUCUGUCCCAACUAAUCCAAGCAAGUUUUGGAUUUUAUUCUAAUUAUUUUUCCUCUCAAAUCAAUUCUGAAAAUUAUUUGGAGCCUGAGUGAUUUUCAAAGCAAGUACCCUAUUGCAUUUGAGUUUUGACCUCAAACCAACUCUCCUGGAUAGUCCUUUGUACCCACAACCCAGAACCAUCUUGAUCCACUCCUCCUCUUUUCAAAUUUUUCAAAAUUCAGUCUCUGCAAGUUUGGACCAGAUUUGCCAAAUUUGAUGAAAUUCAUAUCUACACUGCUCCAAAAAUUCCACCAAAAUUCAGGCAGCCUACUGGAGCAAUGAGUAGCCACUCCACCAAAAAUCAGCUCAAGGAAAAAUCCCCAGAUGCCAAAUUCAUUCUGUCGAGCACCUUGCAUGCACUGUUGCUGUUCAAAAUUCAGAAAGUUCAGAGAUUCAGUCGUUUUCCCUUCGUCAGACUCGAUCACGCGGCCACAGUGCGCCCUGGCGCGUUUCACGCAGCCUCUUCUCACUGGCCAGCACCCCGCACGCACGCUUGGCCGAUUCCUGGCGUCGGUAGCGGCGAGCCUCGCCGGCGUUGGAAGCUUCUGCGGUGGCUGCACCUUCUGUGGCGGCCAACAAGGGCCCGAGCCCUCUCGCCACGCCACCCGGCGCCGCCCAACACCCCCUAGCUCUCCGCGUGUCCCUGCCAUGCCAGCGCACGCCCGUGGCACCGUCGCCGUGGCCCGGCAAGCACGGAACGUCCUCCCUGCCGCCGACGGGCCGCGCCACCCCCGUUCCAUCGAGCUCGCCCAUAGCACCAAAUCCCAGCCCGUUUAGCACCUAAAUGGAACCGGUGGACCUCAACGAUGAUGCCCAAGCCCCUAAUCCCACUUCACAUCAACAACACCGCCGUAAUCACUCGCCGGAGAUCCCCGUUCACGGCAACCGCCUCGGGCCGCCUAUAAAAAGGGCCCCCGAGCUCACCCUCAUGCACGCAUCAUCACCACUCCUCACCAACGCCCCGCCAGGCCACUAGGAGGUCCUCGAGGAGGUCUCCUCCCCCAACUCCGGCCGCCCCGAUCCGCCUCGGCCUCCACCACGAUUCGCUCCGGUGAGGCCAUCUCCGGCGCCCAAACCCCGUCCGUUACUCCCUCUAGCUACCAGGAGCCUAAUCCCCUCUUCAAUUUGAUCUUCACAGCUCUCUCCGAUGAGUCCCUCGACCACCCGAGCCGCCGUCCGCCGGAGCAAAGCUCGCCGUCGACGUGGUACUCGCCGGCGACCACCACCACCACCAACCGACACGGAAUGGCGCCCUGAGCACGGAGGUACCCUCCGAUCCCCCUGCCUCGCCGUGGAUCGCCGCCGGUGACCACCGCGGCUCUCGGGCGCCGACGAGCUUCAUCCCCCCCGCCCUUUUUGAAAGUUCAAACCUGACGAGUGGGACCCCACCGUCAGCCUCUCUGCCCUCUCUAUUGAAUCGUUUUCUGAAAGCGCCUUCGGGCAAAAUGCGUUUUCCCUUUGGGCUGGCGUAGUUUCUGCCGAAGCGUUUAUGUUUUUAUAAGCUAGCCCCUGGAAACUUUCUAUUUCAUUACAGAUGAGUCCCUGGGCAAAAACCUUUAUAACUUUUAAUCAGAAAAGUAUUUUUGAUUGAUUCUUUUUCUGUUCUCUUUAAAAUUUUGUCUAGUUUUUUAUCAUAUUUAUUUGAAAAAUAUUUGGAAUACUUUUUGUGCACUCCUUGGUAUUUAAGAUAGCACAUAUAUUUUCUUUAUACCGUAGAUACCGAAGGAGGUGACGGAGCCGCGAACUUCCCCGAGCUAGGCUCCGACUACUCUGAACCAGGCAAGCAUGUUUGAACUUUUGAUAUGAUGAGUGUCUUGGCAUGUUUUGCAUUUAGUUAGUUUCAUGGCAUGUUGAGGAACAUAUCGAUGAACGUUAUUUUAUGCAAUAUUGAGGUAAGUGAGUUCGAUGAUCCAUAAGUGGAUGGAUGUGAGUAUGAAUGGCCAUGUGUUGGCAUGAGGAUGGGUAAGAUGGCAGUGUCGUAGCAUGCCAGUCUUAUGCCAGACUAUGUGACUUCAGCGUCAAACCGUAUCGGUCCAGUUCCUCUCAUUUCCUUCCCUGUACUACCACAUGUUUUCCGCAAGGAAUAUGGUUUAGUAAGUUGCAAACUGCUUUUCUGGUACACACCAAAAGGAGAGGCCGUGAUGAUGGUUCCAUGGCCCUGGAUUAAAGCCAGUCAUCCGGUCAGGGGGCAUGGGUGUUUCCGGUUGGGACCGAGAGGGGGGCACCCCUUAGAGCGCGCGUAUAUAAAUUUGAUCCCAUGCUAUUCGAGAUUGUGAUCUCCCCAUCUCAAAAGUUUUUCUUGGACGAUGUCUAGGGUGAUUCCUAGCAUCGAGAGGUAGGAUGGGUGUGUACUGGUUAGCUAUGUUUUCUUCCGAAAUACCGUAAACGGAACUAGUCCUUCGUGACUACGGAAAUCCGUUGGCUGUGGGAAAAUUUUUGUACAAACUCUGCAGAGUCAUAUAUUCCUCCAAAUCAUCUAUUCCCUGUCCUAGAUCGAUAUUAUCUUAUCCUAAUCAAAUGUCAGUUUUGAUGACAGAGACUCCGGUGAUUCGCAUGAGUGCUAAUUCCUGUUAAAUGAUUAUUCCUAUGGAUGGACUAACCCAUUUAUUCUCAUGAAUUAAAUGUUUAUUAUGAGUAUUAUUUACUUGUGAAUAAAAGCCCUUUCUGCGAUGUUGCUCAGAUGUCCGACUAUGGCAUUGUUGUAUUUUACUUUCUUUUCAAGCCCUUUCUGUGAUGUCGCCCCGACGUCCGACUGUGGCAUUUCUUUUAAAGCCCUUUCUGUGAUGUCGCCCCGACAUCCGACUGUGGCAUUUCUUUUAAAGCCCUUUCUGUGAUGUCGCCCCGACGUCCGACUAUGGCAUUUCUUUUAAAGCCCUUUCUGUGAUGUCGCCCCGACGUCCAACUGUGGCAUUUCUUUUAAAGCCCUUUCUGUGAUGUCGCCCCGACAUCCGACUGUGGUAUUUCUUUUAAAGCCCUUUAUGUGGUGUCGCUAAGACGCCCGACUGUGGCAUCAUUUCCUUAUAUUUAUUUGUUCACCUUUCGAGGCGUUGCUUCAGACACCCGAUCGGUAGUUAUUUAUGUUUUGUUGGGAUUUUAGGAGGACUACCGCCGUUUCCCUUUUACUUACCUUGUUAUGCUAAUUUUUGAAUGUACAUUGGUGAAUUAAUCAUGACGCAUCCAUGCAUGCAUUUGUUAUAUCUUACGUCCGAACUUUCUUGCGAGUACUUUCAAAGUACUUACUGGCUUGUUGAUUUGGCCAUAUGCUGACGAAGGCGAUCUCAUGGAUGAAGAGUUUGAUAGUGAGUCCGACACUUAGAGGAGUCCCAGUCAGUCUCGUGCGACCCUGGAUUUGGUCACUGUUUUAUAUCCGCUUCCGCUACCAAAUAAAUUCAUCGAGCCUCACCUCGACGCUCGAUGAGAUGACAGACUUAGAGUCUUGUAUUUCUCUCCCCGCUGUGUUUCUCCACCACCGCCCUAUCCUCGAGUCAGUAGUAUGCCUCCACACCACUGUGUCAUGUCCGCCAUUAUGUAUAAUUAUUGGCGUGCUUGUAAUAAUUUGGUUGAGCAACCGUAGUUCGACCCUGUAAUAUAUUUUAUGCUACUGGCUUAUUGUAUCAAGAAUCUGUCUACCAGUGAGGAGGAUUUCUCUCAUACUGGACUCAAAAGAUUGGUUUCUCAAUAAAUAUUUUUAUUGGAAAACCGGUCGUGACAAGCUUGGUACCAGAGCCAGGCUGACUGUAGGAAGCCACUAGAUGCGAUCGCUAAUUGGUUAUUAGCAUCAUAGAGCUAAUUUAUAUUUUUGCAAUUGUAGUCAUUUUCUGUCAGUCAGCAUAAAUUUAUGAUCUGACCAUGCAUAAUUUUUGCCUACUUUUGUAGAUGGCCGACAACAGCUGCGAGUCUCAGACCUUCGCCAACGUGCUCGAUGGGUUCGUCAAGCUUCUUUCCUUCAUCGUUCAGGUCGCGAUGGGGCCAUCUGUGCGCCCAGUUUUCACACUCUGCCAGCACCGAGUCAACGACAGUCUGACCAUGCACCAGGCCGCGGUGCAGUUCAAGGGAGGGCGUGGUGAGUUACGCCGCUUCCGGUUCGUGGGAAGAGCCAUGCCUACGGAGAGGCAUGCUAUGCAGAUGGCAGCCCGCGAGGCGAUAGCUCGUCUCAGGGAUGUCCUUCCCGUGAUGAAGACUCGUCGUUACCGUUAUCUUCCGUGCCAUGUGCCUUACACCUGUCACUACGCAUACUCCUGCCCUGGAGGCUUUUGAGAUGCUCAUUGAGUAUCUCCGGGCCCUGGAGGCAGCCUUCGACAACCUGGUGGACGACUUCGUAGCUACCCGCAUGGACUCAGUUCAUGGCUGUGCUGCCAACAGGAGGGAGCUCCUACCCAUCGCACCGCCACUGACUUUGGUCUCGUCCUCAGCAUCUUUUACGCAUACUCGUCGCCUGCCUUCUACCGAAGAAUUCAACCAAGUCAUUGCACCCACUUCAGCGCGCACUACACCACCCUUCGCGCCCACUCCUGUACGUGUUGCUCCGCCCCUGGCAACCGCUCCGUCCACUCUGCGCAACACUGCACGUAUGGAGCCCAUUAGCGAGGAGGAAGUCGAGUCCCCAACCUCGCUACGCCUCGCCCUCAGCAGGGCAAAGGAGGUCAUCAACAUCUCUGCCUAAGUACGCCUAGCUGCCAUGUAAUGUACCGCUUUGUAAGAUAUGUACAUAGGUUGUGAGAAGUAGCAUGUUUGCGCAUCAUGUAGGAUCUGGAGAAGUGCACUAGCCUUAAUAACAUGUCAGGAUUAUGUACGCAUAUCCUGAGUGACGUAUUGUAUAAAUUACCGCCCGCGUGUAAGAUAUGUAAUGAGCAGUCCUUCUCCGUGCGCAAGUCGAUUUGUUUUUCUUAAGUAAGCUGGGUUAUUUAGUUUUAUUUGCCAGCUUUAUGCAUUUUUUUUGGAAUUGUUUUUGCGACUCGUUCCGCUUUUCUUAUGAGUUUUACAAAACUAUUUCCCCAGAGUGAAAAAUGUCUCGUCCUUGGACUCGCUCCAUGCCAACUCCACCAGAGGAAAAUUAUGAUGCACAACCCAGCAACGAGUUCACUCAGGGACAGUCAAGCCAACAGGGCAGUGAAUCGGCACUUUCACAAAUGUGCCGCCUUUAUGAGCAGAGUCAGCAACAACAUCGGGAAAUGAUGAACCAAGUCAUCAACAUGGGAAAUCACCAUGGACAGUAUCAGCAGCAUUCCAAGUUAUCUGAGCUACAGAAGACACGUCCUCAAACAUUUUCUCACACUGACAAACCUCUUGAAGCCGAGGACUGGCUUCGAGAUAUGGAGAGAAAAUUAAUUAUUGCAAAAUGUUCAGACCCCGAGAAGGUAUUGUAUGCUCCGCACUAUCUCACAGGAGCAGCCGCAUCGUGGUGGGAGAAUUUUCUGCACAUGCAUCCCCACAAAAAUGACAUAACCUGGGAUGAUUUCAAGGAAGGUUUCCGUGGUGCACACAUUCCUAAGAGUAUUAUGAAAAUCAAAAAGAGAGAGUUCGAUGACCUCAAACAAAGGAACAUGACAGUGUCAGAUUACAACAGUCAAUUUACUCUAUUGUCCCGCUACGCCAAUGAAGAGCGUAUGACUGAAAUCAAGAAGAUGGAGAAAUUCCUUGACGGUCUGGCGCCCGCGCUUAAAUGCCAACUGGUCGUGCACACUUUUCCUGAUUUUAAAACACUGGUGGACAAAGCCAUUACUCUGGAAAAUGAGAGACGCAGUCUGGAAGAUAUCCGCAAGCAAAAAAGGGACCAGAAUAAUCAUGCUCGCAAUCACCGAAGCAAGAUAGAUUUUCAAAAGGGUGGGACACACAAAUCCUCAUCCAAUGUCUCACGCCCAAUCAAGAAUUUUCAUGCAAGGGCCAAGGAAUUCACAUAUCGCCCUGGCGUUACUUGUUACGCUUGUGGAGAAGAAGGGCACUAUGCCAAACAGUGCCCCAAGCCAAGGAAUUCAACCCCAAAGCCGAACAACGGCGGCAACAAUUCCGCGCCCAAGCGAAACAAUUUCAAUCCCAACAAUAACCACAGGAAGGGUCAUCUGAACCACGUAACCAAAGAGGAGGCACAAAAUGCUCCAGAUAUCGUACUCGAUACGUUUCCUAUCAACACAAUACCUGCAAUGGUUUUGUUUGAUUCUGGAGCUUCUCACUCUUUCAUUUCGAAAAAUUUUGCUUUGCAAAAUAAUUUUUUGAUGCUUCCUUUGGAGAAAACCAUGAUCAUCAAGUCCCCUGGGAUUCAGCAAGUUACUCAGAAUUACUGUCAGAAUGUGGUCAUUGAGUUCGUAGGAUUGGAGUUCCACGCAAAUCUUAUUGUGUUGGAAAAUAAAGGACUGGAUGUCAUCCUAGGGAUGGAUUGGCUAACCACCAAUAAGGGUUUUAUCGACUGUUUCAACAGGACCGUAAUUCUCACACACCACCAAGGGAAGACAAUAAGAGUAUCAGCCAAGGAAGGAAAAAUACCCCGGCAACCGAGAUUAAAUAAGGUGGGCGUUUCUGAGCUAAACAAGGUUCCAGUAGUGUGUGAAUUUUCAGAUGUAUUCCCUGAAGAACUACCAGGCAUGCCACCAGACCGGGAAAUAGAAUUCCGCAUUGAGCUAGCACCAGGAACCACCCCCAUAUACAAGAAACCAUACAGAAUGGCACCAUCCGAGUUGAUUGAGUUGAAGAAGCAAAUAAAGGAAUUACUGGAAAAAGGAUACAUUCGAGCCAGCUCCUCACCUUGGGGAUCACCAAUUUUAUUUGCCAAAAAGAAGGAUGGAAUGCUGAGAUUGUGUAUUGACUAUCGAGCACUUAACAUGGUCACAGUCAAAAACAAAUACCCGAUGCCAAGGAUAAACGAUUUGUUUGAUCAACUCGCUCAGGCCAAGGUAUUCUCAAAAAUUGACUUAAGGUCAGGAUACCAUCAAUUGAAGGUACGAACGGAAGAUAUCCCCAAAACAGCCUUCACCUCCAGAUAUGGACAGUACGAGUUCACAGUGAUGCCAUUUGGAUUAACUAACGCCCCAGCAUAUUUUGUUCACCUCAUGAACAAAGUAUUUAUGAAGUUUAUGGACAAGUUAGUCGUGGUAUUCAUCAAUGAUAUUCUGGUAUACUCCAAGACACCAGAAGAGCACGCAGAACAUCUCAGGAUUGUGCUAGGAGAGCUAAGAAAACACCAAUUGUAUGCCAAGUUCAGCAAGUGCGAAUUUUGGCUAAGGCAAGUAGGCUUUCUAGGCCACGUGCUGACCCAAGACGGUAUCGCAGUGGACCCAGAGAAAGUCAAGGCCGUACUUGGCUGGAAGUCACCAGCCAGCGUAACGGACAUACGGAGUUUCUUGGGAAUGGUAGGAUAUUACCGCAGAUUUAUUGAAGGAUUUUCCACUAUAGCCAAGCCUAUGACACAGUUGCUCAAGAAAGAUAAGAAGUUUGAAUGGACAGAAGCCUGCGAGAAAAGUUUCCAAGAGCUAAAGAGGAAGUUAACAACAACACCGGUAUUAAUUGUACCCGACAUACACAAGAAUUUUGAAGUAUAUUGUGACGCGUCCAGAAAGGGUCUCGGAUGCGUGUUGAUGCAGGAAGGCAAGGUUGUCGCCUACGCUUCAAGGCAACUGCGCAAGCAUGAGGAAAAUUAUCCCACUCAUGACUUAGAAAUGGCAGCAGUUAUUCAUGCACUCAAGGAAUGGAGGCAUUUCUUACUUGGGAAUCGAUGUGAAAUAUAUGCGGAUCACAAAAGUCUCAAAUAUAUUUUCACACAACCAGAACUAAACUUACGGCAACGACGUUGGUUGGAGUUAGUAAAGGAUUAUGAUGUUGGUACCCAUUACCAUCCAGGGAAAGCAAAUGUAGUGGCCGAUGCCCUUAGUCGGAACCCCAGCUCCGACGAAAACUAUCUGCACAGCUUGAGGCCCGAAUUCCAUCAAGAAUUUGCCAAGCUCAACUUGAUAAUGGUAGCAAAAGGCACCAUAUCAAACCUGGAAAUACAACCCGACCUUGUGGAGAAAAUCAAAGAAGCUCAGCCCGGUCACACCAGCAUCGAAGGCAUCAAAAGAAAGUUGAGUAUGGGCAAGGCCUCGAAAUUCGUCAUAGACAAUGAAGGAAUAUUAUGGUACGGAGAAAGGCUCUGCGUGCCAAACAUAGAAGACCUUAAAUAGAAAAUUUUAGCUGAAGCACACACCACUCCAUAUUCAAUCCACCCUGGAGGAACCAAAAUGUAUAAGGAUAUUCAGGAAAGAUUUUGGUGGCACGGUAUGAAGAGGGACAUAGCCACCUUCAUUGCAUAUUGCGACUCAUGUCAACGCAUAAAAGCUGAGCAUCAGAGACCAGCCGGACUACUGCAACCGAACAAAAUACCUGAGUGGAAAUGGGAUGAAAUAGGGAUGGAUUUUAUUGUCGGACUACCUCGGUCACGACACGGGAAUGAUGCCAUAUGGGUCAUCACCGAUAGAUUAACCAAAGUGGCACACUUUAUUCCAAUAAAGACGACCCACAACACUCAGAGGCUUGCCAGGAUUUAUCUUUCCCGCAUAGUUUGUCUGCAUGGUGUCCCGAAGACUAUAAUAUCCGACAGAGGCACUCAGUUCGUCUCAAGAUUUUGGGAGCAUUUACAACAGGCUCUGGGAACCCAACUAGCCUUCAGUACCGCAUACCACCCACAGACUGAUGGACAGACUGAACGCGUAAACCAGGUUUUAGAAGACAUGCUGAGAGCAUGUGUCUUCACAUAUGGAACCAGUUGGGAAGAAAGCCUGCCAUACGCCGAGUUCGCGUAUAACAAUAGCUACCAGGCCAGCCUACAAAUGGCACCAUUUGAGGCUUUAUACGGACGAAGAUGUCAUACCCUAUUAAAUUGGUCAGAGACCGAAGACAGCCGCAUCUUCGGACCAGACAUACUCAGAGAAGCCGAGGAAAAGGUCAAGCUAAUCAGAGACCGACUUAAGACCGCUCAAAGUCGACAGAAGAGUUAUUAUGAUCAGAAACAUUGUAGAGUCAGCUUCGAACCCGGUGAGUUCGUAUACCUGAGAGUAUCCCCUAUGAGAGGACUGCAACGGUUUAAGAUUAAAGGAAAGUUAGCACCAAGAUUCAUUGGACCAUUCUGCAUAGUGGCACGAAGAGGCACUGUAGCCUACCAGCUAGACUUACCCGAAGACUUGUCCGACAUUCACGACGUGUUCCACGUCUCUCAAUUAAGGAAGUGUGUAAGCAACCCAGAGAAACAAGUAUCCCAUGAAAACAUUGACGUGCAGCCAGACCUCACUUAUCGGGAACGUCCCGUAAGAAUAUUAGAGGAGUCUGAAAGGAGGACCCGACAGAAGACCAUCAAGUUUUUCAAAGUCCAAUGGAGCAAUCACAACGACAGCGAAGCAACUUGGGAAAGCGAGGAUUUUCUUCGGGCAGAGCAUCCACACUUAUUUAAGGACCAGCUGAAAUCUCGGGGACGAGAUUUUUCCUAAGGGGGUAGGUGUUGUGACACUCCAAAAUUUUAAUUUGGUUUUUAUCAAAAAACUUUGUGGGUUUUGAAAAGAGGACAUUUAAUUUUUUUUAGAAAACCUUCCUCUUAAAAACUUCCUUUGCUUUGGCAAGGAUUUUAUUUUUUUUUCAAACUUUGGUGUUUGACCUUUUGAAACUUCUUCUCUGUUGGUUCCCUCUCAAAUUCAUUUUGGGAGUUUAAUCUUUUUCUUUUAAAAUGAAACUCUAUGAAAAACUAGGGAUUUCCAUAUCUUGAAAACCACCCACGACUUUGCAUUUUUGCCCAUGUGAUAAAAACCCUCCAAAACCUCCCCUACUCCUUGUGAUCAACCUAAGUUCUCUGUCCCAACUAAUCCAAGAAAGUUUUGGAUUUUAUUCUAAUUAUUUUUCCUCUCAAAUCAAUUCUGAAAAUUAUUUGGAGCCUGAGUGAUUUUCAAAGCAAGUACUCUAUUGCAUUUGAGUUUUGACCUCAAACCAACUCUCCUGGAUAGUCCUUUAUACCCACAACCCAGAACCAUCUUGAUCCACUCCUCCUCUUUUCAAAUUUUUCAAAAUUCAGUCUCUGCAAGUUUGGACCAGAUUUGCCAAAUUUGAUGAAAUUCAUAUCUACACUGCUCCAAAAAUUCCACCAAAAUUCAGGCAGCCUACUGGAGCAAUGAGUAGCCACUCCACCAAAAAUCAGCUCAAGGAAAAAUCCCCAGAGGCCAAAUUCAUUCUGUCGAGCACCUUGCAUGCACUGUUGCUAUUCAAAAUUCAGAAAGUUCAGAGAUUCAGUCGUUUUCCCUUCGUCAGACUCGAUCACGCGGCCACAGUGCGCCCUGGCGCGUUGCACGCAGCCUCUUCUCACUGGCCAGCACCCCGCACGCACGCUUGGCCGAUUCCUGGCGUCGGUAGCGGCGAGCCUCGCCGGCGUUGGAAGCUUCUGCGGUGGCUGCACCUUCCGUGGCGGCCAACAAGGGCCCGAGCCCUCUCGCCACGCCACCCGGCGCCACCCAACACCCCCUAGCUCUCCGCAUGUCCCUGCCAUGCCAGCGCACGCCCGUGGCACCGUCGCCGUGGCCCGGCAAGCACGGAACGUGCUCCCUGCCGCCGACGGGCCGCGCCACCCCCGUUCCGUCGAGCUCGCCCAUAGCACCAAAUCCCAGCCCGUUUAGCACCUAAAUGGAACCGGUGGACCUCAACGACGAUGCCCAAGCCCCUAAUCCCACUGCACAUCCACAGCACCGCCGUAAUCACUCGCCGGAGAUCCCCGUUCACGGCAACCGCCUCGGGCCGCCUAUAAAAAGGGCCCCCGAGCUCACCCUCAUGCACGCAUCAUCACCACUCCUCACCAACACCCCGCCAGGCCACUAGGAGGUCCUCGAGGAGGUCUCCUCCCCCAACUCCGGCCGCCCCGAUCCGCCUCGGCCUCCACCACGAUUCGCUCUAGUGAGGCCAUCUCCGGCGCCCAAACCCCGUCCGUUACUCCCUCUAGCUACGAGGAGCCUAACCUCCUCUUCAAUUUGAUCUUCAGAGCUCUCUUCGAUGAGUCCCUCGACCACCCGAGCCGCCGUCCGCCGGAGCGAAGCUCGCCGUCGACGUGGUACUCGCCGGCGACCACCACCACCACCAACCGACGCGGAAUGGCGCCCUGAGCACGGAGGUACCCUCCGACCCCCCUGCCUCGCCGUGGAUCGCCGCCGGCGACCACCGCGGCUCUCGGGCGCCGACGAGCUUCGUCCCCCCCCUUUUUGAAAGUUCAAACCUGACGAGUGGGACCCCACCGUCAGCCUCUCUUCCCUCUCUAUUGAAUCGUUUUCUGAAAGCGCCUUCGGGCAAAAUGCUUUUUCCCUUUGGGCUGGCGUAGUUUCUGCCGAAGCAUUUCUGUUUUUAUAAGCUAGCCCCUGGAAACUUUCUGUUUCAUUACAGAUGAGUCCCUGGGCAAAAAGCUUUAUAACUUUUAAUCAGGAAAGUAUUUUUGAUUGAUUCUUUUUCUGUUCUCUUUAAAAUUUUGUCUAGUUUUUUAUCAGAUUUAUUUGAAAAAUAUUUGGAAUACAUUUUGUGCACUCCUUGGUAUUUACGAUAGCACAUAUAUUUUCUUUAUACCGUAGAUACCGAAGGAGGUGACGGAGCCGCGAACUUCACCGAGCUAGGCUCCGACUACUCUGAACCAGGAAAGCAUGUUUGAACUUUUGAUAUGAUGAGUGUAUUGUCAUGUUUUGCAUUUAGUUAGUUUCAUGGCAUGUUGAGGAACAUAUCGAUGAACGUUAUUUUAUGCAAUAUUGAGGUAAGUGAGUUUGAUGAUCCAUAAGUGGAUGGAUGUGAGUAUGAAUGGCCAUGUGUUGGCAUGAGGAUGGGUAAGAUGGCAGUAUUGUAGCAUGCCAGUCUUAUGCCAGACUAUGUGACUUCAGUGUCAAACCGUAUCGGUCCAGUUCCUCUCAUUUCCUUCCCUGUACUACCACAUGUUUUCCGCAAGGAAUAUGGUUUAGUAAGUUGCAAACCGCUUUUCUGGUACACACCAAAAGGAGAGGCCGUGAUGAUGGUUCCAUGGCCCUGGAUUAAAGCCAGUCAUCCGGUCAGGGGGCAUGGGUGUUUCCGGUUGGGACCGAGAGGGGGGCACCCCUUAGAGCGCGCGUAUAUAAAUUUGAUCCCAUGCUAUUCGAGAUUGUGAUCUCCCCGUCUCAAAAGUUUUUCUUGGACGAUGUCUAGGGUGAUUCCUAGCAUCGAGAGGUAGGAUGGGUGUGUACUGGUUAGCUGUGUUUUCUUCCGAAAUACCGUAAACGGAACUAGUCCUUCGGGACUAUGGAAAUCCGUUGGCUGUGGGAAAAAUUUUGUACAAACUCUGCAGAGUCAUAUAUUCCUCCAAAUCAUCUAUUCCCUGUCCUAGAUCGAUAUUAUCUUAUCCUAAUCAAAUGUCAGUUUUGAUGACAGAGACUCCGGUGAUUCGCAUGAGUGCUAAUUUCGGUUAAAUGAUUAUUCCUGUGGAUGGACUAACCCAUUUAUUCUCAUGAAUUAAAUGUUUAUUAUGAGUAUUAUUUACUUGUGAAUAAAAGCCCUUUCUGCGAUGUCGCUCAGACGUCCGACUGUGGCAUUGUUGUAUUUUACUUUCUUUUCAAGCCCUUUCUGUGAUGUCGCCCCGACGUCCGACUGUGGCAUUUCUUUUAAAGCCCUUUCUGUGAUGUCGCCCGGACGUCCGACUGUGGCAUUUCUUUUAAAGCCCUUUCUGUGAUGUCGCCUCGAUGUCCGACUGUGGCAUUUCUUUUAAAGCCCUUUCUGUGAUGUCCCCCCGACGUCCGACCGUGGCAUUUAUUUUAAAGCCCUUUCUGUGAUGUCGCCCCGACAUCCGACUGUGGUAUUUCUUUUAAAGCCCUUUAUGUGGUGUCGCUAAGACGCCCGACUGUGGCAUCAUUUCCUUAUAUUUAUUUGUUCACCUUUCGAGGCAUCGCUUCAGACACCCGAUCGGUAGAUAUUUAUGUUUUGUUGGGAUUUUAGGCGGACUACCGCCGUUUCCCUUUUACUUACCUUGUUAUGCUAGUUUUUGAAUGUACAUUGGUGAAUUAAUCAUGACGCAUCCAUGCAUGCAUUUGUUAUAUCUUACGUCCCAACUGUCUUGCGAGUACUUUCAAAGUACUCACUGGCUUGUUGAUUUGGCCAGAUGCUGACGAAGGCGAUCUCAUGGAUGAAGAGUUUGAUAGCGAGUCCGACACUUAGAGGAGUCCCAGUCAGUCUCGUGCGACCCUAGAUUUGGUCACUGUUUUAUAUCCGCUUCCGCUACCAAAUAAAUUCAUCGAGCCUCACCUCGACGUUCGAUGAGAUGACAGACUUAGAGUCUUGUAUUUCUCUCCCCGCUGUGUUUCUCCACCACCGCCCUAUCCUCGAGUCAGUAGUAUGCCUCCACACCACUGUGUCAUGUCCGCCAUUAUGUAUAAUUAUUGCCGUGCUUGUAAUAAUUUGGUUGAGCAACCGUAGUUCGACCCUGUAAUAUAUUUUAUGCUACUGGCUUAUUGUAUCAAGAAUCUGUCUACCAGUGAGGAGGAUUUCUCUCAUACUGGACUCAAAAGAUUGGUUUCUCAAUAUAUAUUUUUAUUGGAAAACCGGUCGUGACAGAAAUUGCCGGCAGGUAUGUGUCUUCGGUCAUGGCAAUUUUCUUUGCUUUUCGCCAUUUUGCGAUAGCUCGUGACUUGUUGUGCUUCACUAUAGCGGUGGUUCGAACAAUGCAACUGCCGAGUUCGUGAACUUGUUGGACACCAACGCCGUUGAGAUUGAUCAAGUCCCGUUUGAAGCAUUCGACUACAAUGAAACGGAGGCCGGCGUGGACGAUCAUGGUUUUCAGGACGAUUUAGAGGAGAUCGAAGAGGAAGCAUAUGAGCAAUCGCAAACAAAAACUGGGAAAAGCCAGAGAUUGAAGAACUACACGAUCUUGGAAGAUCAAGUUCUCAUCAAUGCAUGGAGUGCGGUGUCUCUUGAUGCAUGCACGGGUACUUCUCAAACCGCCAAGAGGUAUUGGCAAAGGAUCGAAGAUCAAUACUUCCGCAUGAUGGCAAAGUACCCCAAUAGGACUCCACGCACAUUUCGGUCUCUUCAAGGUCAUUGGGAGAAUAUCAAGCCUAUGUGUAGCCGUUGGGCAGCUUGCUUGGAGAGCAAGUAUGCAAUGCACCUCCAAGUGGAUCCGUGGAAUCCGACUAUGUGAGUUUGUUUUGCCUUUGUUCAACUUGUGCAUCAUCUACAUCAUAUGAAAUGAUUGCAUCAUUUCACUUUGUUCACAUUGUGUAAAAAAUUGCCCAACAUAGAUACAAAGACAUGGAAGCUUCGGAAGACAAAUUCUUCAAACUAGAGCAUUGUUGGGAGUUGCUCCAAGAGUGCGAUAAGUGAAAGUUGAUCGAGAAAGAAUCCCCACAGAAGAGAGGCUCACUUACAAACAUGGAUGAUGAUGAGGAUGAUGAUGGCCCAAGAAAUUUGAACAAGCCCGGUGGCGACAAGAAGACAAAGGAGAAGAUGAAGAGAGAGCAUGAAGCAUCGAGGUUGAGGGAGAAGAUUGAUGCCAUGGUGUAACAAAAUGAGUUGAUGUUGUUGAAGUCGUUGGAGAUCAAGAAGGAGUUGGCCGAGAAGAAGGCAAUGGAGAAGCAAGAAAAGUGGCAGUUGCUCAAGGAAGAGGGGCUGCACAAAGCGGCCAUUGAGGAUAGAAGAGCACGGGCCGAUGGAAACAAAUCCAUGUCCAAGUUGCUCGCCGAAGAGAAUAAGAUCAUGUCAAUGAACCGCAAUGACAUGGACGACCUCACCAAAACAUGGCAUGAUAUGGCAAGGAGAGAAAUCUUGAAGAGGAGAAUGGUUGUGUCGGCCGGUGCGUGUUACAGUUCCGGAGAUGUUUUCUCGGCUGGCAAUGUCGAUGAUUUCGGUGUGGGAGUUGGAACAAGCGCCGGAGGUGGAUUCGGUGGUGGUGAUGAACUUCAAGAUGGACUCGAUGGCGUGGAGUGAAGAUCGACCAAGAUGAUGUCAGACGUGGUCGUCACUUUUGCAAGAUCCUAUUUUGCGUUUGUCCUACUAAACUGAGGCUUUUAUUUGCGCGUAAACUGUGUUAUGUUGUUUGAAUUUAACUUAUUUGUGGGCAACAAUGUCAAAUUUGAGAAUUGGGCGUUUUCUGUUUGCGGGUCGACGCGGCGGUGCCCGUGCAGACACCGCAAAAGCCAACCCUUAAAAAAGUAUAUUCCGCGAAUAUCCUUUUAUAUGGGUCCAUUUGGUUUGUCUGCAUCCGCGGCCGUGCGAGCCAGCGUGCAAAAGCCGUUUUCCAUGAACUUCAAACGCGUUUUGCGGGCCGGAAACACAACCUGUAUAACUAGAGCAUGGCUGCUAUAAAGCACCCAACCUGUAUAGAUCCAUUGAACAUCCACAAAGAUAGAAAGCUACAGAUACAACCGCCGGAAACACAACUCCUAAGUAAAACAAAAACCUCCUACAUAACAUAGUUUUUCUACAAAUCAAGGAUGAAGACUGUCUAGGUGGUGCUCAUAUGUCGUGUCCUUUCAGUGCUCUGUUCAGGUAUUUUGCCGCUAUGUUUUUCUCCACCACACUUGUAGGAAAUAUAUUUCGGCUUAUCCAUGCUCCUGCUCUCGAAACCCCGCAGGCAUCGUUGCUCGCUGUGACCAGUACAACGUCUCCAAGGCAUGUCCAAGUAUAGCUUCAUGCAUAGCACUGUGCACCUAUAAAUAUAAGGCGGACACGGUUUAUGGUGUAUGUGCUGAUAACAGAUGUUGGUGCGUAGUCUGCGUGAUACCACCUGCAGCUCAAUCUGCGUCUGCAGCCCAGAUUGCGCCUGCAGGGAAUUAAAGGAUAUCGCUUGCUUCCCUUUCUGCCUAAAUAGAAUAAAACAAUGUCUGAUUAAUGUAUUUUUCUCGUACCGACAACAUUGUAUUGGUGUAUCAUGUAGCAAGGACCUGCGAGGCAAAAUAACAUCCU